GAAAAAAAUUUCCAAGACGGAGAUCAGGAGGCAGUCCAAAGCACAGGGGAGGGAAGCUCGGAGAAGAAGCACCUAGCAGCACACGUUAUGAACACAUUAAAGCUGCCAUUCGUCAGAGGGCACAAGCAGCAAGGCAAUGAUGGGAGCUCUGAUGAAAAGCAGAUGAAGAUUGAAACAAUGUACGGUGAUGAACUCGUCAACGAAGUGAAAAAGCACCUGAAGGAAAAGAGGUACAUUUUAAAGAUUAUUUCUUGUUUAUUGAUUACUAGAUCUGUUCACCGGUUUAGUCAACGUCAGCUAGAGGGAAUUAAUACAUAAUUUAAAAGACGCUCAUGCAGACUAUGAUGAUCUGAUGACGGCAAUGAUUAGCUUUUCACCGUGGCUACCAUUAACACCACUUAAGUUCAUAUGACAAUGCAAACAUGUGAAAUAAGAACACACUGAUAUACAGCUUAAUAGAAUUAAUGAUCAUAAUCAUAAGUGUAGCAGUAAAAUAUGGAGAUCCCCUUUUCAUCCCAGGGUAGUUUUGCAAAAUUGCAAACCCUCUUUCUAUAGACAACCAAGAUACGUGCUAUGUAAAUCUAUGUCGAUCAGGACUUCAUGUGGACGAAUUGUUUCGGGAACGCAAGAUAUAUGUCAAGGGCUUUCAUCUUUGGGUUUGGGUACUUGAAUCGGGCUUUGGGUUUGCCAACCAACAGGGACUUGGACAAUUGGCCUGACCCCUAUAUGGAUCUUCUUGUGCUCAUCUUCCUCAUGAAGGCUCCUAGAAAUGUUCCAAGUGCAGGCCCAAAUCAAGAUUUGUACAAAAACUGCCAAUAUAUGUUGUAUUUUAGGCGCCAAGUGGCCUGAUAGUAUAUGGAUUAGUCCAAAAAUACUGCUAAAUGAGUAUUAAAAGUUUCCAUUAUCAAAAUUUCCCCUUAUUAAUGAGGGGCAACAACACUUCCCCCAUCAGUUUUCUGAUUUUUGUUCUCCCUUUUUUGUUUCAAAGGCAAACUCUAUUGUGGCUAAUGUCACACCCGAUUUUUAAACAAAACCAAGUGCUACCUACAUGUAUGUCAGGAUCUAGUUUCAUACAUAUAGUGACAUCAUUAGUGAAUAACAGGAACAAUAUCACGUAAAAAAGAUACAAAUAAGGAUUUACGAGACUAUCAGAGAUACAUAGCUUAGAUCCUUGGAACGGAUGCUCCAAACUUCACAGGCAAUCGACUAGGGGUUGCAUACGCCUAGAACUCAUUAUCAUCUUCAGAAACUUUACACACCUUCUUCUAAGUAGCAGUAAGCAAGGGUAAGUACACUUAUGGUUGGUACUCAACAAGGCCACAAGAAAUAAUCAUAAUUAAUGAUUUGAGUCCAUCUUCAAAUUUAAUUAAUCAUGUGAGGGUCCAGGUCGCUCUUGCCCGUGAGCGCGGCUGAUCAAUCAGUUUUAGACACUCUGCAGAGGUUGUACAUCUUGACCCACAAGUCGCGUAAAAGUUCAAAUGAACUUUGGACCCAACCAUGCGGUGUUUGCAAGACACCAUACCACACUACCGAGGUAUGAUUGCAUAGGGACGCUAUGAGGCCUUUACAAAGAUUCAUUAGUAAGUGGUAACCCGCUAAGGUUUCGGUGUCUGGCGUGCACGACCUAUCACAGGUAAUGCAACGACUCAGUCCCCCCUCUUGUCUCUUCUCAAGUAAGGUUACCCCAAACUAAGGUUUCUAAUUAUUCAACCAAGACUAGAGCCAUUGAGUCUUGUGGUAGCACUGUUUUUCUGGGUGGUUCUCCAUGUUCCAAUUAAUGCAAGAUAUUCUUAUAAAUAAGCAUAGAUAGAAGGAUGGUUAGAGACACUAGCCUUUCUCCAAUGAAAAGAUACCAUUACUGCUCUUCGACUCUUGCUCUCUUGAACCUCUUAAUAUUCAAAUCUUCCGAACAACGAUCCUUCUAAUUGAAGCAAUUACCAGCACAACAUACAAGCAAACAAAAUAGUACAACUAAGAACAAUACACCAAAACAAAAGAAAGCUUUAGAAGAACGUACUAAAGAACAGGGCUCGAUUCAAGGUCACACAAACGCGCGAAACGCUGAGAUCGGAGCUAUUGAGAUGUUUGAUUCACAUAAGAAAUAAAAAGACUAUAUGCUUGAUUCAUUUUUAUUAAAUAAAACAUGUACAUAAGUUAUUUUAGAGAAUUACCCUAUUUGGAAUUAAGCAAGUUAUAUUUAAUCAUUGAAAACGCGGUAAACUUAAUCAUAUUUUAUUUGUAAAUAUUAAAGUACAAAUUAUAUCAAUUUAACAAUUAGCUUUAGAAACUCAGAGCAUGUACAAGACAUCUAAUCGAACUUUGUAUUUCGGAUUCAACUAAACAUGUUAAUGCGGGAAAAUGUAUUUAUAAUACUAUUAAGCAUGUUAGUUUUAUUUAUGAAAACUGGUGUAUCACACUAGAUAUCUUUUAUUUAGAAAAGCUAGUUAUAAUUAGGAAUUAAUCAAUUAAAUCUUAGUUUGAAAACCAGGAUAGAACCUAAUUAACUUUUAUUUAGAAAACUAAUUGAAUAAGAAUGAGUCAAAUUAAUAUUGAUUAUGAAAAAUCGAUGUAAACCCUACUACAUAAAUUCUUAUCAAGAAAAGAAUUCAAAUAGGCAUUAAUCAAAUUACUAUUAAAUUUAUUUUUAAAGACAUGCGAGGGCAAACAUUACCAAUAACGUAUAAUUUAUGUUAUCGUGAACCUGACACAACUUGAACGAGUAGAAACGGAGCUAAAAUGUGGAUUGUACGAGCUAAACAAUAUACUCCAGGAGUUAGCAAGGAAGAUUCACCAAACUCAGUGAACAGAGCUCGUGAUUAGAUCAAAGAUCAGGGUUAGAUUUGUACAAGUGCAGGGCUCGGGUUAGAAAGAAAGACUGCGGGAAUUGCAGGGUUUUCUAUGCAAGAUUUGCAAGGCAUAAGAAUAUCGGAUAUGCCACGGGCUAGAUCAGAAAAUAGCCUUUCUUCUACCUUGCGCAUGCCUGCGCAGGAAGGGGCGGCGCAUACACCAGCAGCUCGCCGAUGCUUCUUGGCGCGACGGGGCCCUUGGCGGCUGGCGCAAGCAGGGAGAAAGGAAGAGAGGCGCGAGAAGGGGGUCCUCACCGGCGGAGGCGGCGGUGAAAGAGGUGCACGACAUCCAACGGUGGAAGAUUUGAGUGGCGGCGGUGAGGAAAAGCGGCGGUGGCGCUGCUGGUUUGAAAGGGGCGGCGGCGGUGGCAAAACGGAAGGAGGGGAGCCAGGGACGGGCGCUACUUAUAGGCCACGGAGGGGAGCUGAGGCAGCGAAAUUGGCGGAGUAAUAGCCAGCCAUGAAGGAGUAAUGGCGCCGGUUACUGGGAGUGAAGGGGAGGGGCGUUAGCGGCGCGUGUGCGUGGAGGAAGUGGGGACGGCACGCAUGCGACGUGGGGGAGGUACUGCGGCGGUUUCGGAGUGGAGCGUGCAUUCAACUUCCAUUUUCCACAUUCCUAUAGGGCUCGCUUUGUGCAUUUUAUUCUCUUCAUGAGGUCUCCAAAAAAAAUCUACUCCAGUCCCAAAAGUCAGUUGCCACCUCUCAUAUGGCAUCACCCAUGUUCCCUAACCUAGCCGCCGCAUCAACUUCCAUGCAUUAUCCACAAUUUUUCCACAGUUCUCGAUCAUCUCUACUUCCACAUCUAUAAUCUGGAUAAUUGAUUAAUUUGUCUAUGAUCUGAGUGCCUCGAGACACCGUUGACCACUCGGAAAUCGGGACCUCCAUGAUGAAUGAACAAUGGCUCGAUAUCCAACUGCUCCCAUGCGUAGUGAUCACUCAAGUGGCUAUUAGGAUUCGCGAAACAUAUGAGAGACAAAGGAUAUGAUUGGAUAACUGGAGUUCAAAUAUAUCCAGUUAGAACUGAAAGAUGAACUGAGCUAGAUAUUGAAGAUUAGCUCAAAGAGGAACAUCUCGAUCUCGGACUGAAGUUAAACCCAACCUGAGAGAGGAAGUUAGAGAAUAGAGAUAGCAUUGGAAAAUGUAUGAGGACUUGUCGUUUAACUCUGAACGGAGUUUAAGUUGAGCAAAUAGAUUUAAGAAUAAUGGUUUAAAUUAUGAACUGAGUUCAAACUUAAACUGGCACAAAUAAAGGAAGCUCAAACAAGAACACGAGCAUUGAAAACAUUUUAAAACACAAAAUAGUUUGCCCAUUUUGAAGUUAGUAUACGAAAGAAAAAGUUGACAAGUUUUAAAAUGGUUACAAGCAAUUUAAUAAUAAAAUCUCUAAAUUUUGAGAUUUUUUAAAUUCUGAAAAUACGGUGUUUUAUGAAAAAGAUCCUCGCAGAAAAGAUAAACUUGAUUUGUUUUACCGUCUCAUCUCUAAUAUAUAUAUAUAUGUUCUCCUCUUUUCUUGACAGCUACCUGCUCUUAAUUGAUGACAUAUGGUCUGCAAAAACAUGGGGGGAUAUCAGAAAUUGUUUGCCUGUAGAGAACAAAAAAUGCAGUAGAAUAAUAGUGACUUCAAGAUUUCAAGCUGUUGGUGCAGCGUGCUCACCAGUUGGCACAACUAAUCUUCUGCAUACAGUUGAUUUUCUCAAUGCUGUUGAGUCCAAUAAUUUGUUCAAGCAAAGUGUCUAUGAAUCCAAAAGAAGCAAAGAAAGCGAAAAGGUACGGGACAAAGUCCCAGAGGAGAUAUUGAAAAUAUGUGGAGGGCUGCCGUUGGCCAUAGUCAGCAUGGCUGGUCUUGUAGCCUGCAACUCAAGCAAGGCCCUUAGUCACUGGGAUAAAGUUUGCAAAUCAUUAUUUCCAGAGAGUGUGACUGCUCUCUCCUUGGAUGGGGUUACAAGGAUACUUGAUUUCUGUUACAACGAUUUGCCGGGAGAUCUUAAGACCUGUGCACUGUACUUGAGCAUGUUUCCAAAAGGUUCCAAAAUUAGUAUGAAGCGUUUGACUCGGCGAUUGACAGCUGAAGGUUUUGUUAGUGAGAAGCAAGGGCUCACGGAGGAGGAAGUUGCAGAGACAUACUUUAAUCAGCUCAUGAGAAGGAAGUUAAUACGUCCUGUGGAGCACAACAGCAAUGGAAAAGUAAAAACAUUUCUAGUUCAUGAUAUGGUUCUUGAAUACAUCGUUUCCAAGUCAAGUGAAGAGAACUUUAUUACUGUGGUUGGCGGCCAUUGGAUGAUGCCACCACCCAGCAACAAAGUACGUCGACUCUCUAUGCAAAGCAGUGGUUCCAAGCAUGAAAAUAUGACAAAAAACAUAAACUUGUCUCAAGUGCGGUCAGUGACUGUUUUUGGAAGCCUGAAGCAAUUGCCUUUCCAUUCAUUCAAUAAUGGAAUAAUACAAGUGCUAGAUCUUGAGGGUUGGAAGGGUUUGAAAGAGAGACAUCUGAAGAAUCAUAUAUGCAAAAUGCUUGUGUUGAAGUAUCUAAGCCUCCGAAGAACAGAGAUUGCAAAAAUCCCCAAGAAGAUUGGAAAAUUGGAGUAUCUUGAAACUCUUGACAUAAGGGAGACACAUGUUGAGGAGCUACCCAAAUCUGUAGAGAAGCUAAAACGGAUCAGUAGCAUACUUGGUGGCAAUAAAAACCCACGGAAGGGCUUGAGGUUGCCUCAAGAAAAAAUUAAGGAACCAAAGGAAAGUACAUCUGCUCAGGAAAAAAGCGAGGACGACACAGUUACAAGUACGUCCACGCAAGAGAAAAAUAAGGAGGGAAUGAAAGCACUCCGUGUACUGUCAGGGAUUGAAAUUGUUGGGGAAUCAACAGCUGUCGAUGGCCUUCAUCAGAUGAUAGGGCUAAAAAAACUUGCUAUUUACAAGCUCCAUAUAAAGAAAGAUGAUAAAAUCUUCACACAACUACUUUCCGCUAUUACGUACCUUUUCAGCUGUGGUCUGCAAACUCUGGCAAUCAACGAUGAAGGUUCUGAUUUUAUCAACUCACUGGACUCCAUGUCCUCACCUCCAAGGUACCUCAUCGCCCUUGAACUGUCUGGGAUGUUGGAAAAGCCCCCAACGUGGAUAUCCAAACUCCACACCCUCAGCAAGUUAACGCUAUCUCUGACAGUUCUCCGGACUGAUACAUUCAAGCUCCUCCAGGACCUGCCAUCACUGUUUUCUCUCACAUUUUCACUUAGUGCAGCAAAGCAGAAUCAGGACAUAAUAAAGGACAUCCUCGAGAAGAAUAAAUCAGAUUCUGAUGGGGAGAUCUUUGUUCCAGCAGGAUUCCCGAGUCUUAAGCUGCUACGCUUCUUUGCACCCCUUGUGCCAAAGCUGGGAUUUGGUGACAAUGCAAUGCCAGCAUUAGAGAUGAUUCAGGCGCGGUUUGAAGCCUUUGAAGGUUUAUUUGGCAUCGACACAUUAGAAAACCUCCGGGAGGUGCACCUCAGAGUUAAUGGCCUAGCUGCGGAAUUAAAAGAAAGUGAUGAAGCAGGAACACAAGAAACAGAAACCCCUAAAAUAAAAGAAAAGGAAAGGAAGGAAGCUGCUGAAAUCACCAGGUUCUUGGUCAAAGAUUUGAAGAACUACACUACUGAUAAGCUGAAGGUAAUCGUUGACUAUAUUAUCAAUGCUUGAAAUUGCAAAAUAAUUUGGUUGUUGUUUGCUAAAUAAAUAGGGAUGGCAGGUAUAUCCAUCCCAUGGUACUGUGUAUUUUUAUUUCAUUGUCAAUUGAUUAGUGUUUCGUUCUGUCAUGUAUGGCUGGAGCUCCUAGAUACACCGUUUCAGUGUUUGUUGGGGUAGUAAUAAAAGGGGAUACCCAAAGGAACUAUUGUAAUCUUUAUGUUGUGUUGUACACUAUUUCCUAUUGCUACUCAGGUAUUAGUUUACUCUGAUGAACUGAUGUACUCUGAUCAACAUUGCCAAUUUAGCUGUUUAAAUAAUGUGUGUGAAUAAAGUCUCAAACUGGUGUAUGUAGCUGUGUACAUGAGUUUAGGAAAACACCGAACAACUGCUACAAGAGGGACAGGGCAGCACAAGGGCAAGUGAGACAUGGGGAUCGUCAAGCUGUACACCUAAAUUUCAUCUGAUGAGGAAGCAGGAAGGUUAUAAUCGCGAUUACCUCAAGGCCUCCUGAGGGCGCCAGCCGACGACUGCAGCGGCAGUGGCGGCGCCGGGGACAGGAGCCAGUCGAGCUUGGCGGUGCCUAAUUCGAUCGCCUCCGUGCCCAUGGAGGCAUCGAGCAGUGGAUGGGGCAGAUGAAAAAACUGUUCCCACGUGUGCGGGCAUGUUGUUUAGAUGGGCCGGCCCAACGCGGGCACCCACUACAGACCUACAGUUAGAUUUAUUAGAUUUGUUGCUAAAAUAUCGGUAUUAAGUCCGAAACUCCCAACAAAUGACCUAUGAGAAAAAAAAUGAAAGAAUAUGUUACAUUUUUCAUACACUCUUCUCUUAUGGAUAGGAUGAAUAAAGAAGAAAGUUUUUCGAUCACUUACUUUGGUCGCCCAUUUUUUAUCUUUUUUUAAUGCAAUCUUUUUUAAUGCAAAUAGAUUUAAUCUAAAAAAUUCAUUUAGAUUAAGUAUUACGUCUCGUUUGAUCUGUAAAAAAUCUUCUUUGUUGAAAUGUUUCCAAAAUUCGAGGAGCCUCGAGCGUGCCAGGCCAAGCCCGCUUGAAGCCGAAACGAAUAUAAUUCGUUCCCGGCCAGAGGGCGAGUACAAAUCCAAGAGGUGGCACGACUUCCACGUCAGAACGUAUGAUCAGUGAGGUCGUCAAAGGCAGAGUGCACUGCAUCAGCAUCAGCACCAGCAUUUUCUCACGGGAAUCUAAAGUCCUUAAUCGUGCCAUUGGGACAAGUUGAAGCGCACAAUAUACAUUAUGCAUACAUAUAUACAUUCCUCAUAAUAGGUCACCAUGUCCAUGACCGCUUGUCGGUGUUUAGAUCCGGCAACCUACUGUGGAGAGGUGCCUGAGAUUAGAAACUCGAAGGUAAAUGCAGACACACGAUUUAGACAGGUUCGGGCUGUUGAAUACCUUAAUACUCUAUGUCAUGUGUGAUGGUUGGAUUGAAUUAUUUUAAAAGGGAACCCUACCUCACCUUAUAUUGUCGGGUGUAGGGAUACAAGUCAGUUGUUUACAAAAAUAGUCGGAUUUGAUUAUACGAGUUCUACUUUUAUUGCUACGAGUGCUACGUAGACUACGCCGUCCUGCGUCAUAGUCUCCAUGUUCGAUACAUCUCGGUGUCCAGCCCCAUAUUUAGGACUGUCCAAACUUUCUGAUGGACCCAUAGAUGUAUGUCCGAUAAGCCCUCGAUUACAUUUUAGUUAAAUGUAGCAGUUCCAAAUACUUUUAUAGACUUCACCGACUAGUCCUAGUUCUUGUGCUUUUCGAGUACUUCAUCUAGUUAAGUUUUCAAAGGGACCAAGAAAUAUCAUGCAGCUAGAAUGUGCUCAAGCCUCGUUGAUUUUAUCUUGUAUCCUUCAUCCUUGAAUUUUAUCCAUAUGGAGUAGCCCCCGAACCUUAUGUUGAAUCGAAGAAUCAGGUUGAGGGUCAAUCUGUAAUUUGCAUCAAUUUCCCCUUAAAACAUAGAGAAAAAACAUUUUAUCGGUGGACAUGUGGCACACAGCCCCCGAGCCUUUUAUCGACUAGUUUGGUAGGUACAAGGGUCAACCUCUGGUCAUGACCAUCUUUGAAAGAAAAUCUUAUCCGUUCCGAAAAUAGAGGUAACUGCCAAUCAGGUGUUGCAAAAUCCACAGAUCCAUUAAACUUGAUAUUCAUUUAUUAGCGUUGUUGUUACUAUGCCGCGGUUAUAAAUAACAGAGGAAUCCAUCCCUUACCUUUGUCAUCUGCCUUUCAGACUUCAACGCUUGAGCCCCAACACCGCUGCUGCCUGAACUCUGAGCGCUAGCGCCGUCGCCCCCACCACUCUGGUCCUGAGCUUAUACGACAGAAGAAACUCGUGACAUCAAGGAUGGGGAGGAAGGUUGUUGUUGUCAAGUCUGCCGUGGAGGAAAAGCAGAGGAAGUCUGAUAAGAAGAAGUUGUAGUUGCCUACGUCCAAGUACGGGAAGACAGAUCAGACUGCGCCGCCAGUAAGGUACUAAAUAGCAUUUAGCGGUAUGGUAGCGGAUUAAGGUUGGUGUAGUGGAUCGCGGAUAGCGGAUGUUAUAGCGGACGCUAAGUCCAAAUAGCGGAAUUUCAAAAUAGUCAUAUUUUUAAAGCAUAUAUGAAUAUUAACAUCAAGUUUACUUAAAAAAGUUAAAAUUUUAAUUUAGCCAUUACAUUUCACAAAUAAAUAGAUAUAAUUAAGAUGUAUGGAUAUAUAUUAACAUUAAACUCUCAUAUCAAUAAAUAAAAAAAUUCAUAUUUCAUCUCAUAAUGCUUUGUCACUACCUAAAUAAUCAUUUUAAAACAUUAUUAUUACCAUUUGAUUCAUGUUCAUAUAUCACCUAAAUCAUAAAUGUAGCGAAUAGUGGUAACGGCCGCAAUAACAGGCAAUAGUGGAUAAUAGCGGACGCUAAGUCCAAACAUACUAUUUUUAGAUCCGAUACCUUGUAGCAGUAGCGGUACCUACCGCUACCGCUAUAGCAGCUGCUAUUGCAGGCGUUAUGAAUACUGUUUAGUACCUUGAUACCGGCAUCUUUUGGAUCCGAAUACUCAGUGAGAAAUAUAUUUGUGCGAGUACAAAAUGAAUGAAAUAGAAAACGGACAGAGCAGGGUAUUAGUAUGUUGGCCCAAUUUAUCUUUAUCUUUGGUCGACCUCUGGUGUAUGUGGACCCUUCUUAGGACAAGAACGACAGUGGGCUAGGUGCAGCUCAAAUUUUGACCAACUGAGCUCAGGAAGCGCACUCACUGCUCUAGUAGUACUGGUUCGCUUAUGCUUUUCUUCCAUUUCCUUUUUGUAGUGAAUUAUAUUUCCACACCCACAGAAUUGCUUGGUGAGCUCAGAAAAACCCGCCGGCCAGUCAUUCGCAGACUUGUGGCGAGAAGCCCCUACAGGGCUGCCGUUCUCGAAGCCGUUUUGAAUCUGAUUCGCUAGCUGAGGUCGUCAAGGCAGAGCGUGCUCUGCCCCAGCAUCUACACGACCAUUAUUUUUCACAGGAAUCGAUCUCCCAACACACCGGACGAGUGCUCCAUGCAUCGAAACAUAGCUUGGGCUUCCGGAGAUUCGACGCCCUGAUCUCCAAUUUCAUCCGGAGGCACAGAACUUCACCUGAACAGUUAAACUGCUCGAGGAAGGUGUCCUUACCAAACAUUCAUAUUUCUUCAGGCUCUGUUCGGAACUUGAGAAACGCUGAUUUGCCGAAAAUGAUCUCGCAUUACACCUCUUGUGGUCCGUAGUCUUGUUUCAUCAUUGAUAAAAAAGCAUUCCCAAACACCCUAGGCUGUCCUGUACCUUUUGCUUUUGUGGCUACCAAGCCAGCUGCAACAACUACUGCCAAUGGGUUGCCCCAGCACACUUUAAGUACAUUUUUGAGAAUAUUUGGAUAAUUUAGGCAAUCUUUCUCUGAAAAAGACAUCCUACUGAGCAGCAAGAGCCUAGAGUCAGAAUCAGCAGGAGGCUUUAACACAAAGAUGAAGUCAAUUGGCUUCACACAGCAGAACUUGGCUAACUUCUCAGCCUCAGUUGUUGCUAGUAUCCUACUUCCGGGGUUGUUCUCUGGAAAAGCACAUGUGAUAGAGUUCCAAGAGGAAAUGGUCCAUAUGUCAUCAAUUACAAUGAGGUACCUGAAAACAUAUUUGUCAAGGUGCAUGUCAGUCAGAGCUUUAAGUAACCGUAUAACAGCUUAUUCAAUGAAAGCUGAUCGUCAUGCAUGUUACAUUAUCUGUUUGCAUAAAUGACAUUGUUUCAAAACUCUUCAUCUGCUUUGCCCACAUGCUAUACCGGACUUGCUUUCUGUGCAUACUUUACGGGAAUUUGUAUCUGUGGCACUAGCCAUGUCAAUUGCAGUGGCACACAAUUUCCAGCAGCAUGGACAGAAAGUGUUAGUUUGUGAUGGCAUGCGAGCAAACUAGCAAAAUCUCAAUGAUGUACUCAUAAAUUUCCGAAUUUCAAAAUGCAUUCUUCACAAAUUAAAAAAACCUACAAAAUUUACAGGCACUUUACUUAUCUGUGUACUUCUGACACCGUUAUAUAUAUUCUUAAUAGGCCUUCAGGUUGUAACAGUUGGUCAGUACCAAAAAUUUCAGGAAGUAAAAAUAUAUUAAACUCCACUCGAUUCUUGGACUGAUGCUUAGGCACUUGACCAAUAAUUAGGUAAAUAAAUAUGGAAUGAUAUGCUGAAAUAGAAUCUAGUUUUGGUAACAGAAAUGAUCUCUAUAUGAGAGAGAAUCGAGGGAGUACCUCUUUGUCUAAAGGAAUUCCCUCAAUUUUUUGGUGAGAACCUUCUUGUCACAGGGAACAAGGCUACUGGGCAUCACUUGAUGGGCGACAUCCAUUAGAGUAUCAACUAUAGAUGGGUACCGGCCAACAUAUACAAUAGCUGCUUCAUCCAAUGGCGGUCCAGCGCGUUCAGCACCACCCCUCGGGCACAGAAUCCAAGCAGUUGUUGCUGGAUGCCAUCAAGGUAUUGCCUUAAUUUCGUGAACUCGGUUUCAGCUGGCAGCUUGUUGAGGAGGAAAUUUAUGGCGCCCAUAGAAGAGCUCACCAUAGCCAUAGUCCAAGGAGAGCCUUCUUGUCUCUCCUCUGUGUGAUCGCCCAUCCCCAGCCCACGGUCGUGAUCCAUUUGCCCUGCAAAUAAUAAUAAUAAUUAAAUACGUAAAAGAAUUGUGCGUUAGUUAUCUUCUGGAUUUCGGAUCUGAGGUCGACGGGAAGAUAACCCCUACACUACACAAAACCAAUCCCAAUCACCAAACCAUCGCAACAGUGAUCAAGUGUACCCACCAAAAAUCCUGGUCAAGCCAAAACCCCCCACUCCGACCCCCCGAGUCAGUGAUUGAUGCUCGAAAAUAUCGCCAAGAAAUCGCGGGGCAAGGGACGGGGUCUAAGAUUUACCAGAUCCGGAAAAACGGAAUCCACCGGUUCGGGAGGGAAGAUCCAAGCGCGACGCCUCCGGCUCCGGCACCGGCCUCGUCCUCCAGGAGCAGCGGCGGCUGGAGAGAUGGAACCCUAGCAGCCUGGGAGAAUUGGAAAUAAUCAUCUCCGCCGCGCCGGCGCCACCGUGGUGGACCCCGUUACGACGGAAGGUACAACUAGGCAGAAAAUCGGACGGCUCACGUCGACGGUUGAGACGCCACCAAGGGCGUACCCGUAAAUAACUUUUCCCGUAAUGUAAAAACGACGUAACCCGAAGGUCCAAUUUGCAAAAGGACCAAAUCAAUAGAUUAAUGGAUAUGGAGAAAAAAAAGAAGAAAAAUAAAUCGUGUGCCAGGCCAGAGCAAACAAUUCUACUCAGUUCCCUUCCUUCUCCCCCUCCCCGCGGCCGCUAGGGUUUUAUCCCGCUCGCACGCUCGCUCGCUGGCUGCUACCUCCCGGCGAAGGAGGCGCCGGAGGCCUCGCGCUUCGAUCCCCCGUCUUGGGCCCUUCGAUUCCACCUCUUAACCCCGGUAAUCCUAAGAUCCCGCCCUUCGAUUCCACUUCUUAAGCCCGGUAAUCCUAAGACCCCGCCCCUUGCCCGCCGAUUCGGCCGCGAUUUUUUUUUCGCUCGGGUUUCUUCGAAUUCUUCCUCGGGGGGUUUUGCUGCUGGCUCCGUGUCGGGCGCUAACCAAGAUUGGGGUUUGGUGCUUUUGGUGGGCUCGAUUGGUUUUUGGCGCGGUGGGUUCGUGGCUAGUGUUGGAUUUUCGUUCGGGAUUCGUGGGUGAUUGGGGGUGGAUGUGAGCCGAUUCGGAUAUGAAAUUUCGUCCCUUUUGGAUGCGGAUUUGUAAAAAUCAUUUACUUAUUUGCAGGGCAAAAGAGCAUUAUGGUCGCUGCAUAGGUGGGCAGGCAGGCAUUGGGAGAAGAAGAAGGCUCUUCUCUUGCUUGACAUGGUGGCUCAGGAGGCCGCCGCAGAUGCAUUGGGCCCUCGGUUUGCCCCUGAUGACCUGACUCUCCCUGCGCCCUGGAAAGCGCUGAUCGACGGGGCAACGCUGUACUACUGGAACCCGGAGACGAAUGUGACCCAGUACGAGAAGCCGGGUGCUGCGGCGGCAGCACCCCCGGCGGGUCCUCCGCCAACAAUCCCUGCGCAGGUUCCGGAACCCGCACCAGGGGCUUUUUCACAGCCUGGCAUGCAGUUUGGCCAAGCUGGUCAGGGGGUGCACCAGGAGCGACCAGGCCAGGCAACUUAUCCUCAGGCUGGCCAGCUUGGGCAGCAGGAGUAGCAGCAGACUCAACAGCCGGCGCAGCAGCAACCUUUUCAGCACGUGCCUCAACAGCAACCUUCGUUUCAGCAAGCGCUGUAUCAGCAACAGCAGCCACACAUGCCAAAUCAGCCACCUCAAUACCCCAACCCGCAUCUUAAUUUUAUCGGUACACUUACCAAUCUGGAGUAUCUGGAACUAUCGUCGAACAAAUUUGAGUAUCUACCAGAAAGUAUUGGUAAUCUUAAAAGGUUGCAUAUACUGAAUCUCAAGAAUUGCGAUAUCCUCGAGUCCCUUCCAGAGAGUAUAGGUAAUCUCAAAAGGCUGCAUACACUGAAUCUCGAGAAUUGCCAGAUGCUCGAGUCCCUCUCAGAGAGUAUAGGUAAUCUCAAUAGGCUACAUACACUGAAUCUCAAGGAUUGCUGGAAGCUCGAGUCCCUCCCAGAGAGUAUAGGUUGUGCAACUGGGCUGAAGUCUGUACUGAUGGACGGGUGCCCAGACAAAUUAAUGGAUCAGGCCAGUUCUCUAUUGCACUAUUCACUAACAUUACCACUCUUUAAGGUUCGUGCUGAUGACGUCAGUGCUCAUAGCAAUUUGCAUGUGCUCGAGGGUGAAAAUGUCGCCGAUGAGUUACAUAUAGUUUCUCUUGAAAACGUAAGACUUUUGGAGGAAGCACGGAGACUUAACCUGUUGACCAAACAGAAUCUUUUGAACUUGAAACUGGUUUGAAAAUUGAAUGCCUAUCGACAUUUGGAGGACAAGGAUUUGUUGGGACAGCUAGUGCCACCAAUGAGCCUGAAGGACUUGAGUCUACAAGGUUAUAGCAGUCGGAGCUUUCCUGGCUGGCUCAUGGCAAUUUCUCAUCAUCUCCCUAAUCUUACUUGUAUUGAAUUGACGGAUCUGCCUACAUGUAGCAACCUACCACUCCUUGGACAGUUACCGUACUUAGAAAGCCUACGUCUUUGUGAUAUACCCAAGGUUUCAAAAAUUGACGGGGGUAUCUGUGGUGGCAAAAGAGCAUUUCCCCGACUGGAAGUCUUCAUGGUAAGUUUUAUGGAUGGUGUGGAGAAGUGGGAUACAACAUGUCCUGGAGAGGAUGGUGUGGAGGAGUUCAUGUUCCCUAUGUUAGAUGAACUCGAGGUAUAUGAAUGUCCAAAGUUGAGGUUAAAACCAUGCCUCCCAAAUGUCGUAAGUUCAUAAUAUCAAAAAGCGACCAAGUUAUAUCUUCACUGGAGGAGGUACAAACCAGCAGCCAUCGCUGCAACUCUACUCCAACGACCACCAAACUGGAGAUCAGCAAAAGUCAGCACGACAGUUUCAGGCUGUUUCACCACUUCCCUGCCCUCCAGGAGUUGGUAUUCUCCUGGUGUUCAAAUAUGCCGAGCUUGCCGGAGGGCAUACAACAACUCUCCUCCCUUCAGUCACUCGAGUUGCAUUGUUGUGACAGCAUAUCAGCACUGCCAGAAUGGCUGAGUGACAUCUCCUCUCUUAAAAACCUUGUCAUCUGGGACUGUGAUAUCAUCAAGUCUUUGCCUGCAUGUAUACAGCACCUCACCAACCUCGAGGAGUUAGAUAUUAAGGGGAACCAGGAACUACAGCAUUGGUGCGAGUCAGAAGAGAACAAGACCAAGCUCGCACACAUUAACAUAGUAAGUUCAUGACGACCAUAUUUAUUUUUCUAAAUCCGGCAUUCAAGUUUCUAAUAAAACUUAGGUCCUAUAUGGAUAGCAAGUGCUAAACUUUAGCACCCUCAAAUGAAGUGCUAAAUUUAGCACCUUGGAAUGUUUGGAUAGUAUGCUAAAGUUUAGCACUUUUGGUGGCAAAAGAUCCAAGUACCACUCCUUUUCCCUCUUCCCUGGCUGGCGCACUACCACUCCACCGUGAGCGGAGUUCAGGCUCCUGCUCCUCGCAUCCGGCCAGGGCCCGCUCCACCCGCAUUUGGCGCAAGGAGGCAGACCUGGCGCAAGGUCCUGCUCCACCGUCGGGCUCGACUCGGCCACCAUCGCCAUCGACGUCGGGCUACGGCGGAGUGGCUUGUGCCUUGUCUACAGGUCCUCGCCCAUACCGAUGCUCAAGGCCUCGCUCCUCCCAUCGGGUAGUGGCAGCAACGGCAGCCAUGGCCGCCCACAUCAGUGGGGCCAGGCAUAGGUGGACGACGGUGGGUGUUGCGGUGGGGAGGAGAGAGAGGGGGAUAAUGGUGGGAAAAGGUAGAGGGGGACCACUUUUAGCAUAUUAGCACCCUUUAGCACCCCUUGGGUGUGCUAAUGAAAAGGAGUGUGCUAAACUUAGCAAUCACCUUUUAGCAUCCAUGUUUGGAAGCACAAGUGCUAAAAGUAUGCUAAAAGUGCUGUGCUAAAAUUUAGCACUUGCUAUCCAGGACCUUAUGUACUUCCUAUUUGUGAUUUCCAUGAGUAUAUAAGCUAAAGCUAAUCAGUCGCACUUUUUUUCAACUUUGCAGAUCAAUUUAUCAGUAGCUUAACCAAGUACCAUAAAAAUGCCACCAGGGUAAAAGGCAGGUCAACCAGCUGGACUUCAGAAGUGCGAUGCCUAUAGCAGUGCAGCUGCACUUCUUAUGUCUGUAGAAGUGCAGCUUCAGUUUUAACAUACUUGCCUUCACCUAUUAUUCUUCUAAAAUUGCUUUUGACCCGCAGCCUGUCAUGUGGCUGUGAGACAUUUCUGGGAAACAAGCUCAAAUCAUGUUGAAUCGAAUGAUCUUCAUUAGCAGCAUUGUUAGAUCUCGGAUACUGCAGAGCUUAAAGAAGCUGCUGUGUAGUUGACUACAUUUUCCUCCAUUGGAACUCCAACUGCUUCUGUCAGUGAACUCUAUUGGGUUCUUCAAAUUCUGCAAUAGAUUUUGUCUUCUCCUGAACUUUCCUUCCAUCCUCUUCUCUGUAAUUUUUUUUAUGUUGGGUAGACAACUCUCUCUCUCUCCUUGAAUGCUUAAUGCACCAAAUAAACCUAGAUACUGAAGAUCACAUUUUACACGAAAAAAAGAGCAAGCAUUCCUCCAAGUGAAUAAUGCCCAUGAUAACAGCCAUCACCACGGGGAACAAGAUCUAUGCUGGCCACACGGCAAAGGCACGAAAACACUCGGUGAACCCUUUGCCAAGUGUAACACUUGGAAAAAAAAGUACCAGCAAAGCGGCUUUGCUGACUGUUUUGUGUCGAACACUUGGCAAAGCUUUUUAAAAAAUAAAUUAACAAAGCCAUAGCGCAGACGCCACCACGCCGCACGCCGCCACGCCACCACGCGGCCUGCUACCGGCCGCCACCACCGCCCAUGCCACCGCCGCCAUCACCACCUCCUCCACCAACGCCACCUCCGCCAACGCCACCUCCUCCGCCAGCACGCCACGUCCACGGAUCCGGUGAGGGAGGGAGGGGGUCGGGAGCAGAGGGGAGAUGGGGUGAGAGGGAGGGAGAUGGGCCUAGGAGCAAAGGAGAGGGAGGCAGCGCCGGCGGGAGGAGAUGGGUACGGCGUGAGGGGGGGGAGGGGCGGCGUGCGUGGGGUAUAGAAUAGGGGUUCGCCGAGUGUAGAAAAAAAACACUCGGCAAACCCCUUGUUUGCCUUUUGUUUACACUCGGCGAACCCCAUGUUUACCGAGUGUUUUUUUUUUGCCGAGUGUUUUUAUCGCAACACUCAGCAAAAAGUUUAUUUGCCGAGUGCCUGAAGGAAUGCACUCGGCAAACAUAAAAACACUUGGCAAAUUUGAGGUUUCUGGUAGUGCAUGUUCAUUGUUUUGGGAGAUAAGGUAAUAUUUACGUUCCAUUAAUCGAAUCCACAUUUAUCAUUAAUGCACACUUGCCUACCCCAAAUAUCCAAUUAGACUUUGUGCAAGUUUCUAAAAAAAAGUGUAGAAUGACUAUUACAUACCUGGACUUCAGCAGUUGUCACAUGCGCUUGCGGUCAGAUGUUGGAAAAAGGUUCAACUUCCCAACUUUUUUCAUUUUUUUAUGACAAUAACUGAAAAAAACUCAGCUGGAGAGUGUAGAUGACUACCCUCCUGACCAUGUCCAGAAAAUUAGAUGACGUAUCCUUAGGGCCUGUUUGGAGUCGCUUAUUUCCCGCUUAUUGGUGAAAAUAAGCGAUAAGCCCACCCAAACGCCUCGCUUAUUUCUUGCUUAUCACGUAAGCCGCUUAGUGGAAAAUCUGAAAUUGAACUAGGACUGGGCUUAUCUCCUACGCAGGCCGGGAGGCGCUUGUGGGGCAAGCGACCGAUUUUUCCCCCGCUACCCUCACCCACCGACGCCACCACCCGUCCGCCCCCGCGCCUCCCGCGACCACCGCCGGCUCCGUCCGCCGCCAGGUCCGGUCCGCCGGCAGCUCUCGUCGCCGGCUCCCGCCGCCUACAGAUCCCGCCGCCGCCGCUCGGUCCCGUCCGCCGCCACCGCUCGGUCCUAUCCGCCGCCGCCGCUCCCGCACCUCCCGUGACCGCUGCCGGCUCCCGUCCGCCGCCCGGUCCCAUCACCAGCUCCUGUAGCAUGCAGAUCCCGCCGCCGCCGCUCGGUUUCCGUCCGCCGCCGCCGCUCCCGCGCCUCCCGCAACCGCCGCCGGCUCCCGUCCGCCGCCCGAUCCCGUCCACCACCUGAUCCUAUCGCCGGCACCCACCACCGCCGCUCGGUUCCCGUCCGCCGCCGCCGCCCCCGCCCCUGCGCCUCCCACGACCGUCGCCGAGCUUGGCCGCCGCCGGGCUUGCCCCCUGGCGGCUUGGCCCCCGCCGCCCGGGCUCCGCAGCCAGGGCCGUCAAGGAGGAGGAGGAGGCGCGCGCUCCUCCCCGCCCCCGCGCCGGCCGGCUACGGCGAGGAGGAGGAGGAGGACCUCGAGGAGCGCGCGUACGAGGCGGCGGAGAAGGUCAUUGUGUGCAUCUCGGACGGGCCGGACCUGGAGAGCAGCGGCUGCGACGACGCGGCCCUCUGCUCCUCGUCAGGGGCGGCGCUGCCCUUCUCGUGGCGGAAGCUCUGGCUCUUCACGGGCCCCGGGUUCCUGAUGAGCAUCACGUUCCUGGACCCAGGCAACCUCGAAAGUACUCUAAAUUUCUAUUUCUUGUGAAACCAAAAGAGAGGAGCAAUAAUGCACAAGCAAUGCACUUCCAGGUCAACAUUCAUCUGCAUUAUAGUCUAGCAGUCAAUUGAGCCCUAUAGUCAAAAACUAUAGGAUAUAUUGUAAAGUAUUUGCUAUCAUAUGAAUUUUGUAUGAAUUUUGUAUUAUUGUAAUGUAAUUUCUAUUUAACAAACUCCAAAGGUAUUAGAAAUGUCUUCUCCUCAGAUUCACAAUAAAAAUGAGCUAUUAUCAGCCUUAGGGGCAUUCAGGUCAAUUUACCAACCAGGAUAGACAAUCGACACAAAAUAAUCAGGAUUGCCAAACACCCUGCUUAUUCAGACAGCAGAUUCUCCAGGCAGCAGGCUUAUCAGAUAAGCUUGCUUGCCAGAUAAGCGAGUUCCAAAAAAGCGUAUACAAACAGGCCCUUAAUUAGCAGAACUACCACACAAGCUUCUUGAAGUAUUCGCUCCUCUCUGUGCAUGAGCAUGACAAAAUCAACUGAUUAAUACGCCUUCAAGCUUCACAGAAUCCACUAGCAUGCACUCAUAUAUCCAUAGUUACUACAUUUGUUUGAUAGCAAAAGAGGGGAAAAGGAUGCAGCAGCCCAAGGACAGGCCAUGGCCCGGCUUCCGUUUCAGAUUCCAGCCAAAGGAAUGCCCCAGCUUUUACCACAGGUUCGUUCUGCUUCUUCACCAUAAUUCAGCUAACAAAAUGGCACGCGAAUUUCGUUCAGGUGCCAUACAUGAUAAGGCCGCAAAGGUGACACAGAAUCCGUCCUAGAAGCGAGCACGCUGCAACGUCGUUACAAGACUGAAUUCAAGUGGGAAGAAAAAAAAACAGAGCAAACAGAUGCACCAACUCCAAAUCCUUUCAGAUAGGCUCACAAGUCCUAGAAUGCCGCUACCGCUACAUGAAAGUUGAAAUACAACGAUUCCAAGUAGCACAGCCGCCAAGCAGAGUUGUGAGUCAAGUAAAACACAACAAGAGAUGCUAAUUUUCAGACAAUGCGACAAGCGUUGCAACUGCUAUUCAGGCGAUCAGGCAUAGUACACGUGCUCCCCGUACGCCUGUCCCCACGUCUCAGCCGGAUGCCCUAAUGCAGGCACCAUGGCGCUCCCCCCAUCGCUCCAGCCGACAACAGAGGAUGCAACUGCAGGCAUCAGCUGAUACUCAGGGUGCACGGGGCCUACCAUUGGUGGUCCAGUCAUAUAGCCGCCGCCGCCGCCGUGAGCGUGCACCCCAGCGCCACCGUCCAUCCCCAGCAAGUACACGCCGGUGCCACCGGCCCUCCGUGGUGGUGCAUGCCGUCGUGCUGGACGUGGGGGAACCAUGCACGGUUCAGCUGCUCAAGCUCCGGACCUGCAUGGUACAAGACCUCAGGGUUCAAAGCAGCAGUGGCAGCUCCGUACGCCAUGCCUCCCGUGGCUUGCACGCCGAGCAUCACAUCCAUUUGGCCGACCCUAAGCGCAUUCUGAGUGGGUGCAGCACCUCUUCUGGCAGUACUGAGACCCGGGGCAUCGCCCAUGUCGGAUAUCAGUACGGGUCCAGCGGUGUCACACUUCCAUCCUGGAGCUGGACCAACUUUGACGCCUGCCAAUGAGGAAAGGCUAGUAAAGCUAAGCAGGGAGAAAUAAUUAAUAUAAGGAAAGUGCAUGCCUAAGAUGUGCGCACAUGUGUGAGGAGUAGUUGCCACAUAUGGACUAUGCAGGGCCUUGAAAGGAACGUAUUGGAAGACAACACACAUGCCUGAUGCCAUCAUGAGGAAAGGACCAAUCAUAAUAAAGAUAGAAGAUGGCAAGUCCGAUUCUGAAGCUGAUCGAGCCGAUGGAAUUACAAUAUCUAUUGGAUAAGGAGGCUAGUGUCGGCAAGGGAUUUUCAUGGAAAGUGACUCUGCAAGAAGGGAAAUUGGAGUCCGUGUAUCUCAAAUAAUUCCUUUUGUUUAGAUAUUAGUGUUAGGCAAUUUUGUGUACGACUCAACUAGAGUCAUUACUUCAAGGUAUAAAUAUGUACCUAGGGUUAUUGUAAAAAAUAUCACACAAUCAAUACAACACAUCUACCUUUUCGGCGCCACGCCAUUGCAUUAGGAGUAGGAGUAAGGUAGAUUUUUCCGGUGAGUUCUUUCCGGCAAGCGGGGAUACAUCGACUUCAAUCUCCGGCGAGCUGCAAGUUCCCAUCACCAGGUAUCCUAGACUUCAACGUCCAAGCGCAUCGCUGUCGUUGGAUCUAGUUCUUACCUACAAGUUAUCGAGUAUCUCGGAUCUUCGACUUACGGUGCAUCGCUCCUAUCCCAAUCCAUGGUAUUCACUAGUUAUCGUUUUUAUUAUAUCCUGUAAGGCUGCAUCGUUGGAUCUCUUGCUAGAUGUGGUAGAAUCACAGUUAUCUUGCCUUGAUUAAGCUUACAUCAGUUGAUAUUUAUCUGUUCUAUCAUCUUGCUGUCUAGUUUGCUUUAAUUAGCUCUAGAUCGUAUCAUCAUAGAUGAUAGAUCACUUAAUAGCUUGUUGCAUCUUAAUCUUGGUUACCCCUCGAGUGCUAUUGGAAUUGAGUUCCAUUGUGAUUGGAUUCAUCAGCUAGCAAGGUUUAGAUUGGCGUUCUGCUAAGUGUUUUUAGGCUGCAACUAUCGGACGCAUCGCUGUAGUUUCACCUAGAAAUACUGGUAGUAACGUUAAUUGAAUCUCCUCGGCUUGUAGCUCUAGUCACGGUGGAGCAAGAGCUCAAUGGCGCUCUGUCUCCUAUCGGCUUUCUAGCCGAUGGUUAUCGCCAAUUAUGUUUAAUCGACUGGAUAGUCGAUGAACCGCUCACGCUCAUCCAGAUACUGGAAUCUACUUCAUAGCUGAUAUAUUUAUUCAUCAUGCUUUAUUUUGUUAUGUCAUUAUCACCGUUGGUGCCAGGAUUAUAUCGGCCUGAUCGGCUGGUUGCCUUGAACUUCAAAAGGAUCAUCUUCUCCUUGUCAGUUGAAUGGUCAAACUGACUGGCACUCCCGCGUUCACCACGCACGCCGAUCUACAGGACCUGCACUGGAGUGAAGCAAAUCUUCCAGACCUUUCGUGUGUUAGUACGCGAAGGUCACCGUCCGAUUUUUACGUCAACAGUUACCAAUUGUUGUCCUGAGAUCUCUUGACUACAUACUGCCAUCUAACCAUAGGGUCUUACUAGUAGGUAUCCCUUUCAUCUUUUUUAACAAAAAAGCCAUGUGAUCCCCUCAAAGACUAGCAUAUUUCAGAUCUACCACCUAACGACCAGCAUCUAAACUAAAGGUCUUACAUAUUUGUUGUCCAUGUGAACUUAAAAAAAGUUUCGAUCCACUUGAAGAUCGGCAUCUUGAUGUCUAUGCUUAUCUAUUGGCAUCUAACCAGCAAUGGGUGUUACUUAUUUGUUUCAAUAUGAUAACAAGUAUGCAAACAAAUAUCCGUGAGAUAUAAUGUGCUUCAAUGCGGUGGAAAGUAUAAUGAUAACAUAAUUAUGUUAUUUGAGAAACUAUACAUAUGAUUUUUUAUGUUUGUUCCAAACAGUGCAAAGUAUAUCACUUAUAUCGAUCCAGUGAGCUAGUGAUAAAAUUAUACUAGUGCACCUUUCUGUCCCUCGAAGAUGGAUUUUUUUCCGGAUAGAUUAGCAUAGAGACUAAACAACUUAGUUGUCCCUAAUUAAUAUUAUGGUCAGUUUGCAUGAGAGGGGUUAGGAAACUGCAUGCUACGUUCCUGCUCCAAAUAUUAGACACGCACAAUUUAUUACAAAUUCCAGCGUAAUUAGUGGACAAUUAAUUGAAGCAACAAAAAGGACAAAGGAUGCAAUGCUGGAUGUGUGUCAAGACAAACCAGUACAAGAAUAAUGAAUUGUGCCCUGAUCGAUCAUUACCGUCUGUAAUUAUCAAAGCCUAUAUAAUAGGACCGAUCCAAACAUGGACCUACAUUAUUUUUGUAAUAGAUAUCUAUCAAUAAUUAUAACAAACCAUGAAACCAACCAACUUAAUUAUGAUCCCAUAAAAAAUCAUCAUCCUGAGAUCUAUUCUUAACUACUGGCAUCUAACCAAAUAAUCUUACUAUUAACUAUCCCCGUUCAUUUUUUAAUAAAAACCCACGUGAUCCAUUUAAAGAUCAGCAUCUUGUAGAUGUACACCUAAUUAAAGGCAUCUAAUCAAACGUCUUACAUAUUUGUUAUCCAUGUCAUCAGCCUACAAAAAGUUACCAUCCACUUCAAGAUCGGCAUCUUUAGAUUUAAACUUAAUUACUGGCGGCCGGUGGACUCAACUCCAAUGGAUAAAAAUUUCAGAUCUGGUCCUCCCUCCUUCACCGACGGUUUGUUAAAUGAGGAACUAUUGUUAUAUAAGUUGAUACAUAGUCUCUACGAAAAUUAAUACAAAAUCACAAUAACUACAUGCAAUGUUUGUAUAUAAGUUGCUACACAAACUCAACACGAGUUGAUACAAGAUCCACAUAACAUGACAACAUUGUCGUAUAUAAGUUGCCGGGACGAGUAAAUUUACUUCAAAACUUAUAGAACAUGAGUCUUGUUUUGUAGAUCACAUUGUGAGGAACAAAAUGGUACAAACAGAUUUGAAAUGGACACUUGUCGAUAAAAUUAUCGUCUUUCAAAUAAAAUAGAAUAAUGAAAUAAAACAUGAUGACAUUGUUUAUCCACUGCUUCUUGCCCUCCACUUAGUGCCAGCCGCAAAUGUCCUGACAGUAAAAGGUUUGUGGUUGUUGCGUUCCACUGUUUGCAUGUAUGGAUAUGAUUUUUGCUUGAGGAUGCGUUAACACGCUCCUUUGGAGAUAGAAAUAAGAGAUACAGAGUGUGGUGAGGAGAAGGUGGCAACGUGAACACAGAGACAAUGGAGUGGUACAUUUCUUAACGGUGGGAACAUUGGAUGCUAUUGAAGUGUACUAGAUAGAUUAAAGAAAUAUAAUAAAAUGGUACGUACGAAACCAAGCAUAGAGAAUGUAAAAUAAAAUCAAAGCUAGAUAACGUGACUAAAACUAAAAUGAGAUAUAUGUGUAGAAUAUAAUGCAUGCUAGUUAAAAAUAAUCAACAGUUGUGAUUGUAGAAAUUUCUAUUGUGAGUUUGACUAUAUUUAAAAUUUCAACUCGAUUAGGAUGCCAACUUAUAAAAUUUAAAAGAUGUGCCCAAGUAGUUUUUUAUGUUAAUAUUUCCACUAACACUCGUUCCUAAAAUAAAUUAGCUUUGAGUCGUCUCGAGUUAAACUAUUUUAAAUUUAACCAGCAUUACAUACCGAAGAGUACAAAUGCCUAUGACACCAAAUAAAUGUAAUAUAUUAAAAUAUAUUUUCCUAACGGAUCUAAGCUAAUUUGGUGCCCACAAGCCAUGGGCUGAAAGCUAACUUGGGCUGCAUAUAUAUUUAGGCCGACACAACUGGGCAGAAAGAUUUGGCCCAUGACAUUAUUGGGACAUAUUAGCUCAUGACAUUUUUAGGUCAAACCAUCUAACGAUAUGAAUUUGGUGUCUAUGGCCCAAUAAUGUGCUUCCGCACUGCAUUUGCGGUUCUCUGUUUUCUGUGUCUACUCUGUACUAUGUAUGAAGCUGCACCUUCCUCAUGUCCACUUGUAAAUUUGUAUCCCAAAGGAAACAGAGAAUAGCAGCGACUUUACGCCCAGUUGCUCGUUUAAAAAAUCUGGUGUUGUUUGCCUGCCUUUCUCCAAGACCGGCUCCGCCAAGCUAACCGAAGGGCUUGAUGAUUUGUUACCACCAAGUCUUCACGGAGAAGCACGAAGUACAAGGUUUUUAAAAAUAAAUAAAAGAACUGGUCAUAUCAUAUGUACGAGAUACAAAAUUAAAUGUGUGGCCAAACAACAACUAAAAUGAACUUGGAUCGAGGUGGGUUGUUCGAUCCGCCUCGACCAAUGGGCGCAAAAUUAACCAAAUGGGUGAAUAAUAAGCAUUCGUUCAAAUCAAACAACUAGUGGACAUGGCUUGUAUUUUUAAAAACGGAGACAUUGUAUUUACAUAAUCCAACGGAUGAGCACCACACACUCGCUAUGUGGUAUAGGACGACAAUGAUUAUACAGCACUCUAUAAUGGACAUGUCAGGCUAAAGCUGUUGGAGAGUGGAGAGUGUCAAAAUUAUGUUGGGGCUGUCUCCCUCGACCCUGUUUGAGUCUUAACUCGAUCGCCUGGCCAUCGUGCAAAAGUCUCUAGCUUCGGGCAGCCAUCGCGUUACGCUAGCUUCGGGUAGGAUAAAAACGGGUGUUCGCUCCGGAGCUAAGGGACUAACUAACCGGUCAAGUGACCUCGCUACGCAGAUUACCUGUCUUUUGUGCGCAGAAGGAAAAGUGAAGCACCUCGUCAUAACGGAUGGUCGACAGAGCAAGGGACUGAUGAAGGCACGAAAGGACUCCGCUCGUGAAGCCUCAGCAAAGCCGACUGCGCUGGAGCUUCGGACAACCAAAGCUACCGAGGUGACGCCCGGCUUCGGUGACGAGGUCAAGGCGCCUGAAGACGUGAUCGACAUGAGAGCGUGAUUUCCGGGGCCUUGUUGAGAAUACUCACAUAGUUGUAAUUUUGGGGUGCUAUAGAAAAAUACUUUAUAAUUUAGGCCUCAAAUUAUGCUUUCGCAUAAAGUUUUCUCAUGAGUCCUCUAACUUCAUUUUAGAUAUAAAUUGGUAGUUACGUAUUCAUCCCAUAGACACAUAUACAUUUAGUUCCGUUGUCUUGUCAGUUUGUUUCAUAAUGCAAGUCACUCCAAAAAAACAAAUACUACUUCACUAUAUUCCCUGAAAAGAAAAAUACUACUACUUCACUAUAACAUCAGGUCCACCUGCUCAAAAGCACCUCCAGUUUUUCCUUGUUUGCGCCAACAACCGUGCCCUUAAGUUCUUUCCCCUUUAUGAACAGUUCUUUCCCCUUUAUGAACAGGAAGGUUGGCAGGGCCUUAACACUGAUUUUCACUAAAUCCAACUUUAUUAUAGUCUCAUGAUACUUUAAGUACCACUGCCUGGAGGCUUGUUUUAAUCCAGAAAUAGAUUUCUUCAGACAACAUCCCAUAUGCUCUUUUCCCUUCAUGACAAAACCUUUGGGUUGUGCCAUGUAGACAUUUUCUUUUAGGUCUCCAUUGAAAAAAGUCAUCUUUACAUCCAUUUGAUGUAACUCUAAAUUAUAGUGUGCCACUAAAGACAUUAUGAUUCUAAAAGAAUCCUUAAAUGAGACCGGAGAAAAUGUCUCAUUAUAGUCUAUUCCUUCUCUUUGCAUGAAGCCUUUCGCAACAUGUCGAGCUUUAUAUCUUUCGACAUUCCUUUUGGAGUCACAUUUUGUUUUGUAUACCCAUUUGCAGCCUACUAUCUUGGCUCCUUUAGGAAUUUCUUCUAAAUCCCAAACUUUGUUGCUACUCAUGGAUCUCAUUUCAUCUUUCAUGGCUUCAAACCACUUUGAUGAGUGAGUGCUUCUCAUAGCUUCUUCAAAUGAGAUGGGAUCUCCCUCCAUUUGAACUUCUUCACUAACAUAGACUUCGUAGUCAUCAAGAAUAGCUGGCUUUCUAACUCUUUGAGACCUUCUAGGGGCCUCAACAGCUGGCACAUUUUCUAUGGGGGACUUUGCAGCUCUUCCUCAUGUGUGGCAACGGGUUCUAUAGGAUCCUGAAGGACAGGUCCCUCAUCUUCAUGUGUCGUUGCCACAGGAGAACCAACAACACGUGUUGUCAUCACAGUGUCCUGCAUUGUCGGUGCAGCAGCAAUAGGUACCACAAGAGAACUAACAAUAGGUGUUGUCGACAUAGUGUCAUGCACUAUCGGUGUAGCGGGUAUCGAGAAAAAUGGUUCCUGAACCAUCGGAGUGGGUACAUAUACCUGCUUCUCCUCAAGGUUGAUUUCUCGAGGUACCGUGCUCCCCCUGAUCAUCUUAUCAUCUAGGAACACAGCGUGUCUCGUUUCUACAAACUUAGUAUGUCUGUCAAGAUAGUAGAAACGAUAACCUUUUGACUUCUCAGGGUAGCCAAUGAAAUGGCAACUGACUGUCUUAGGAUCUAAUUUUCCAAUGUUUGGAUUAAAAACUUUAGCCUCAGCUGGACAACCCCACACACGCAAAUAAUUAAGUAAGGGUUCUCGUCCAGUCCAUAACUCAUAUGGUGUUUUAGAUACCGACUUACUAGGGACCCGAUUAAGGAUGUGAAUGGUGGUUUUUAAGGCCUCCAUCCACAAACUAACCAGUAAAGUUGAGUAAAUUAUCAUGCUUCUCACCAUAUCCAUUAAGGUACGGUUACGUCUUUCAACUACUCCAUUCUGCUAAGGCUCGCCCGGGGUAGAGUAUUAGGCAACUAUGUCAUUUUCCUGUAGAAACCUCGCAAAAGGUCCAGGAACUUGGCCAUACGGGGUAUGCCAACCGUAGUACUCCCCUCCACGGUCGGAUAUGACUAUUUUAAUCUUUAAACUAUGCUGAUUUUCUACUUCAGCCUUAAAUAUCUUGAAUUUAUCCAACACUUCUGAAUGCUCUUUAAUUGGAUAAAUGUAACCAUAGCGCGAAUAAUCAUCCGUGAAUGUUAUAAAUGAAUUAUAACCAUCCACAGAUGUCACAAGAAACAGACCAAAAAUGUCCGUGUGAAUUAUUUGUAAAAUUCCUGUGCUUCUUUUGGCGUCUUUCUUGAUUUUCUUAACGAACUUUCCUUUAAUGCAGUUGAGACAUUGCUCUAAAUCUGAAAAUUCUAAGGGCGGAAGAAUUGAUUCUUUAACUAAGUGUUCUAUUCUCCCCCUUAAAAUAUGGCUUUAAUGACAGUGCCAUAAUUUCAAAGAUACGUCAUCAAUUCUUUUCCGCUUAUUCUUUACAUUCAUAGUCGAGGAGGCAUUCCCAUUCUCAGCGCUUAUUUCAUUCAUAUUCUCACAAAGUGAUAAUAAAUAAAGCUCACCUUGUCUAAAGGCAAGACCAACAAUCUUAUUAUUAAACUUAAUUUCACAUUGUCCAUUUCCGAAAUGACAAGCAAAACCAUCAUCAUCUAAGCGCGACACACUUAUUAAGUUUCUACGCAAAGAGGGUACAAAAAGGACAUCUCUCAAAUGAAGUACAAAGCCAUUUGCUGAUUCUAAUGGGAGUUCUCCAAUGGCUUCGACUUCAGCUUGGACGCCAUUUGCAACUUUAAUGUUUCUUUCUCCUCUUUGCAGGAUCCUCCUCGUAUGGAAUCCCUAUAAUGAAUUUGCAACAUGAAUAGUUGCACCUGAGUCAAUCCACCAAGUAGAUUUUUCAUAACUUAAAUACAAGGAUUCAUCUACAAAUGUAAUAAUAUCCUCACCUCUUUUCAUCAGGUGCUUCAAGAAGUCUGGACAAUCCUUCUGGUAGUGUCCCUUCUUCUUGCACCACUUGCAAGUGUCUUUGUGCACCACAUGUUCCUGAUUUGGUCUUUGAUGGUGAUCAUUCAUUGGAGCAUUUCCAUGUGCCUUAGAGGAAGAGGCAUGCCACUGAGGUUUCCCUUGCGGCUUAAUUGUUCUGAAAAUUUCUCUUCUUGUUGUGGCUUAGGUAGUUUAUAGUGUCACCAGAUGAGCCCUUAAUCCUUUCUUCCUCUUGUACGCACAUAGCUAUCAUCUUCUCAAUGCCUCAUUUUUCUGGCUAUGUGUCAUAAGUCAUAGCAAAGGUCUCAAAUUCUUUAGGCAAUGAGGUAAAGAUCAAAUGAACUAUAAAUACUUCUGGAAGCUCCAUCUCCAUAGACUUUAGCUUGGAAGCCAUAUUGCUCAUUCGCAAUAUGUGAUCCCUUAUGCUGCCGCCAGUAUACUUCAUAGUGACAAGCUUCCUUAUGAGUGAGCUUGCAUAUACUUUGGAAGAGCCGUAAACUGACUCUCCACCUUUGUCAGGUACUCCCUGGCGGUCUGACAUUCUAGGAUCGCUCCCGUAAUUGCUUCUGUGAUGGAGCUUUUGAUCACCAUCAGGCACUUUCUGUUUGAUCCGUCCCACUUCGCACGAUCAAGAUCGUACUUCAUUCUUAUUGGUGCAUGAUCAUGCACCCUUUCAUUGAAAUCAUCCUCACUUUCAUUUUCGGCCCUCACGGGUCCUCAGGUUCUAUGGGACAGGGAGCAAUCAGUGCCAAAUCAAUAUUGGACAGUGCAAGCGCUAUCUCGACCUCCUCUUACCACGAGCCGUAGUUUCCUCCUGUGAGGCGCUCGAUGGACGAGAUAAAGCUCAUAGGAUUGUCUGAAAAAAAAAUUCAGAAAAAAGGAGUUAAUUUAACGUUGGUCAAAUUAAAACACAAGACUUCUCAAUAUCAAUUCUACAUCACCGUUGGGCACAAAUAGAAUUAUUAAUGAUAAAACAUCACUUAUAGUACAACAAUAUUAUCAACAACGUUGGUCAGCAGAUAAAAUUAUCAUACUCAGAAAAAAUACUUAUUUUCUAAUUACAUUUUCUGGUUGGUUCCAAUUUAAUUAGAGAAAUAGACUAGAAACUUGAACUUAAUGCAUAAAAUUGGCAAAAUAAAGCCAAAAAUUCAACUUAACUCAAUUUUAAUACAGUGGAAGCUUAAACAUAAUUUUGGGAUUUUACCCACAGGAAAAGUCCUUAAACUUAUUUUAUUUGAGCCACUAAAACAUUUCCAGAAAAUAUAGAAUAUUCGCUGGAAAAAGAAAAGCGAAACCAGGCUCAUUCUUUCUUUUCCUUCCGCCCGCACGAGGAAAAUGGCCCGCGACGGCCUACCGAGCUCAGCUUCGCUCUUUAGCAAAAACUGCAGCCUAGUCUUCCCUUCUCCCUCUUGGGCUGAAAUUUGCCCAGCCGCAAAAUUGGCCCGCCAGCGGCCUGCUGUUGCCAGCUCUGCCGUCCAGCAAAACGCACCGGCCAACCAGAUGGACCAGCCCGGCCCAAAAGGAAAUGCGGCCCGGCCUGUGCAUGCGCUCGACUCACUCGCUGGCUUGGCUCGCUCGGCUCGCGGCUUGGCAGGCUACAACCUGGGCCCGGGGCGUCGAAGCGGCCUACUUCCCGUUCCCGCCUGGGCCGAAUCUGGCCUGGACGAUUUCAGCCAUCCAUUCAAGAUCGAUGGCUACGCGUGAUUUUCGCUGGAUCCAAACUGAGCGAGUGGCCGGCCCUGCAAACCCUAGCAGCAUUUCUGCUCCUCCCUCGCGCAGCCGUGAGUAACGGCCGAGAGCGCCGGCCUGCGAGCGCCGGUAAGCAGAGAGACCCUCGGCUUCCCCCAGUCCCCCUUGCCGGCGCACGCAUCCACCCGAGGGUGAGCGCGGCGCCGUCGAGCGGUGCUGCGGGUUCGCCGCGUCUUCCCGGUAGUGAGCGGACGGCAACAAGGUGAGCAAGAGGUAAGCUGCCGCCUCCCUGAGCUCUUAGUCUGCCGGCGGCCGUCGGUAAAUCCGGCGGGCGCCAUGUCUCCUUUUUUUUUUUGAUCUUUCUCUCUUCCCGGAGACAGAUCCGGUGGAUACUUUCCUUUCGAUUCUUCAUCUCCUUCUAAUUGCUAACCCCGACUAGAUCUACAACCUAGAAAGGCGACUGAUACCAUUGAUAGGAUUAACAGGAUCAUCUAGGUGCUAGUCUAGCGGGUAAAACAUGACUUAGGUAAACCAACAUGAUUCGUGGAUCUACACCGAGGCAUACUAGAGAUGGAGAGGGAGAGAGACCGACCGUCGGGCUUUGUUGACGAGAUGGCCAUGGUGUGUAGACGAUGUUGACGAAGAGGGCGGCUGCGGCCGCGCGGAGUUGGCGAAGCUUCCCGCCGCUAACAGCCCCUCCACUAGAUUGGCUAGGGUUUCUGUGUCGGUGGGGUUGUGGACACGGUGAACGUUGGCUCGUGUGCCCCGACUCCCACGUCCUUUUAUGUGGUGCUGCGGGAUGGGGGCCACCAACCAUAUAUGGAUUCUCCUAUAAAUCCGGUGGAGAUCAAUCCUAACGUCACCAAGUAUCCCCUGUAAAUCCUAUAUGGUUCGACAGAUUUGGUCAGUCUCAUAGCUGAUAGUCUUUCAGCUUCCGCAUAGCUGAUAUACACAUGUUCGUGCACAAGUGCACCUUGUUCAGUACGACAUUUCUCAGCUAUACUCCUGACCCGGGUCGUCAUGAUUAAUUUACAGCCCAGAUUAUUCUUAGGAAGAGCCUUACGGAUGACUUCCCAUUCUUCCCAGUGCCAAAUGUCAUCAAUUAUGACCAGGUACCUACGGAAAAAAAAACAAGACCAAAGAAACUUUUAACAUUUGGGCCAUCUUAUCCCAUGUUACUAUUACUAAUUGAUUGGAAUGUUCAUACUCACAUGGCCAACUAAGAAAAACAGAUCAUUGCGUUUUUUAUCUUUCUAUAAGCGGGCCUUAGACAGAAGACCAGGGCCAGGCCCGCUUAAUGUAUGUAGUUGUGUACAGAUGAGCUGAAGAUGGAAAACACUGAACAAAGUGACGGCAGCACAAGGACUUGCGUUUUUUUAUCUCCUGAGUGCCCGGUUGAAGCCGAAACGAAUUCGAUCUGGUCUCAGGCUCCAGCGCACGAGAUACAAAUCCGAGAAGAGAACUAAUCCGAGACGGGAGCUCAGCUCUGUCCCAUUCCAUGUCAAGGCAGAGUGCUCUGCAUCAGCAUCUGCACCACCAUUUUCCCUUCCACUCCUGAUGAGUGCAGUGCAGGAUGCUAGGUGUAAUCCGGUCAUGCUUUCCUCGAUCGAGGAGCGCCAUCUUGCAAAUCGAAUAAUCGAUAGACCCAUUCCGAUUAACCAAAGUGCUUAAUUAUCUGAUUGCGACAUGUGGAAUAAUUGCGCUGUCUUUUUUUAUUAUAGAUUAGUCUUUUACCAAGGUGCAACGUACUAGCUUGCUUAUAUGGAUCAGUACACAGUAUUUUGAUGACGAGGUAAAUAUGCAAAACAGAAAAGCACAGACGCUGGUGCAGAGAGAGUUUCAUUCUUGGAUUGGCGGGCGGCCCUGUUCACUCAGGUGGAGAUGGCCAGGCCCAGGCCCACUUCAUAGGAGAACUUAUUUUGACCCAUUUCAACUCCUCGUCUCAUCGGCAGCAUCCAUCCAAUCCCUCCAACAGAGAGAGGAUUCGCACAUUGCGCUCAUGCCUAGAGCAGGACCAAACAUAAGGGAUUUUUUUAAUUUUAACCUUUUUAAUAAUAUUUAAAACAACCCUCCAGAUAAAUGUUUCCAUCCCGUGGCGCUUUUGAUCGCGUCGUUCCACGUGUCAGAGCAAGAUAACAUUAUCACGCAACAUGCAUUGGGAGGCCUGAUUCCAAUGUCCUCAUACAGCUCAGGAUGGGUCAAUGGAAACUCAACGGCCUCUUUAAUUUCUUGAAUCUGAGCGUCUAACCCACCAAUGUCAGCAUAAGACUCCAGAGGAGCUUUCUCCACUUACAUCACAGAUACCAUAGGAUCAACUUCAGCUUGCAGUAUCCCAACCACAGACAGAACCUGAAGAAGCAAAGGCACGUUUGAUUGAGUUAGCAGUUAGUUGUAAAGGAUCCACGCACUAAUGCAUGUGCACACAAAAACGAUUAUUAUCCAUGGAAAGCACCCGGUGAGCACAUCAAGUGUGUAAGGAAAAAGUCUAGGACAACUGCUAGAGGCUACAAAGGACUCUAAAAUGAAUAUUCCCUCCGUUCCAAAUUGUAGGUCGUUUUAGCAUUUCUAGGUACAUAACUUUUACUAUGCAUAUAAUUUGGUCUAGAUGCAUAAUAAUAUCUAUGAAUCUAGAAAAGUUAAAACGACCUGCAAUUUGGAACGGAGGGAGUACAUGUAUAAUGGUUGAAAAUGAAAGGCAGUGCAGCCUUGGCAUAGCAUACAGAAUCAAUCACCACUCCGGGAACUGAAACAUAUGAAUCUGAACAGUCAGCAGAACCUAGUUAAGUGCUAACCCUUAGUUGGUCAUCCUUGAUUCGAGAAACAACCUCUAAACCCUAACCACCUUAAUUUAUCAGGUACAGUAUUAGACAAAUCGCUAAAACAACAAGGUUUUGAUACAUUAGCCCAACUCCUCAGUAGAAACCACCAAUCCGCAGGGCCUAGUUUUCUGAUGAAUCUCAGUUCCAUGGUCCGCUUAUAGUCUAUGUUGGAACCUUGAUUAACUGGACAAUAGACGAGAGCCUAAAGUUCCCCGUCCAUUCUACAAAAAUUCCCCCAACCUAACAACAAUUAACCCCAGAGGUACAGAUACUUAAAUCGCCUUCAAAAAUCCAACCUCUCCCAAACUAGCAGGGAUCAGUUUAGUAGAUCGGGGAUACUUAGAUCGAGGAGGUUAAGGGGACCUGUAGUAGUAGAUCCGCUCGUGCCUAUAGUAGAUUAAGUAGCGGGUUGGGGAAAAAAAGAGAAAGCGAACCUUGUUGUGCAUGGGGAUGCUCUGGCUCGAGCUGCUCCUUGUCGACGAACGGAGCUUGUCCUCGCGCACCCUUGCUCACUGCUGCAGCUCCUGCUCCGCGCCUGCGCCGGCUGCCUGGGCCUGCACGGCUCCGCUCGGGCAGCGUCCAAGGAAGGGCAGCGGCAGAGAACUUUUUCUCCUUUAACCUCCUGCCUUCCCUCCUUUUUCCAUCCGAGUCCCCCUCUCUUCAGAAUUUGAACUGCGGGUUGAUUAUCACAAAUUUAAGGGCUUUUUUUUUUGCAAAAUGACAAUGACGGUUGGAAGAAAUAUCCUCUCUUUAAUAAUAGGUAUAGAUAAGAGGCAAGGACGGCAUACCGUCUGCUCUAGUGCUUUGACCGGUCCGCAGCGGCAGUGGCGGCGCCGGGGAUAGCAGCCAGUUGAGCUUGGCGGUGCCGGUGAGGGCACGCAUGGCGACCAGAGGCACCUCUGCUGCCUGAUUCGAUCGCCUCUGUGCCCAUGGAGGCAUCGAGCAGUGGAUGGGCAGAUGAAAAAACUGUUCCCCUAUGUGGGGGCAUAUUGUUUAGAUGGGCCGGCCCAACGUGGGCGCCCACCACAAGUAGAUUUAUUAUUGAAAGGAAUCAGUGCUCGUAACCUAAGAGGGGAGGGGGUGAAUUAGGCAACUUAAUACCUUAACUGCUUCCACUACAUUGCAUCAAAACAUAGACUGGAGCACGUUAUCUAGAUGUGCAAGCUACGGUUGAUCUAGCAUGAGAUGCUCAUCCUAAAACAAGUUUUGCAACCUAUAGCCAAUCCUAUCAAGAUAUUACUCUUGUAAAGUAAAGGCACACAAGUUGCAAGUAUGAAAUGCGGAAACGUAAGGAGGGGAUGAGAGAAAGAAAACUCUUGACACAAUGAUUUAUCCCGUGAUAUCGGUACGCACUAAGCUACCAUUAAUCUACGUUGUUGAAGCACUCACACAAGAGUAUUAUUUUCCGAUCACCAAGUUCCUCCCAAGGUACCCCUUGUCUUGCCACAAAGGCUCACGCCAAGUGCCUCGGUCACCUUGAUGCCAUCUCCACUAAAGAGCUUCUCCACAAAGGAAGGGGGUCUCCCUGUCCGCCGCACAAGGUCGUCGACACCGCUCCACACCAAGUUGGAGGGUCAAAGACUUGCCGGCGAGCUACCAAAGCUCCAAGGAACCUGUACACCUCUUGUACAGGGAGAAGAGAACUAAUCCGAGACGGGAGCUCAGCUCUCUCCCAUUCCAUGUCAAGGCAGAGUGCUCUGCAUCAGCAUCUGCACCACCAUUUUCCCUUCCACUCGUGAUGAUUGCAGUGCAGGAUGCUAGGUAUAAUCCGGUCAUGCUUUCCUCGAGGAGCGCCAUCUUUCAAAUCGAAUAAUCGAUAGACCCACUCCGAUUAACCAAAGUGCUUAAUUAUCUGAUUGCGCUGUCUUUUUUUAUUAGAUUAGUAUUUCAGGUGCAACGUACUAGCUUGCUUAUAUGGAUCAGUACACAGUACUUUGAUGAGGUAAAUAUGCAAAACAGAAAAGCAUAAACGCGGCCGCACGCGUCAUCUUCUUCUGCGACCCCAUGCGGAGAGAGUUUCAUUCUUAGACUGGCACGCGGCCCUGUUCACUCAGACGGAGAUGGCCAGGCCCAGGCCCAGGCCCGCUUCAUAGGAUAACUUAUUUUGGCCUGUUUCAACUCCUUAUCUCAUCCAAUCCCUCCAACAACAGAUAGGAUUCGCACAUUGCAGCCAUGCCUAGAGCAAAACCAAACAUAAGCCAUUUUUUAAUUUUAACAUUUUUAAUAAUAUUUUCAUCCCGUGACACUUUUGAUCGUGUCAGUCCGUGUGUCACAACAAGAUAACACUAUCACGCAAUAUGCAUUGGUGUGAUGAGCCUGCCAUGCUGACAAGGGGAGAUGACAUGAACUCCUCUUGUCACGCCAACACAUGCGGCACAAGAACAUGAUUCUGCCACGCCAACUUGCCUCGGUGAUGAGUGGCAUGUACAAUUCAAUUUAUCCAAUUUGACCAUCUAAAUAAAAUAGUAUUUCAACAUUAAAUUCUACGAAACUCGGCAUGCACGGUGCAUACGGUGCGGACGUUCCAUUUUAGUAACAUGCGCAAUGCAAGUGCAUUAUAUUUUGAAAUUUUUAAUUUCAAAGUAGGCUUAUAUCCCGCUUAGGGUUCUAGUUAAAUAUACCUACUUGGGAGCAUCUCAAUAAAAUAGCGUUUGAACUUUGAAUGUCAAGCACACUAUAUAAGGUAUAGUGUAAAGGUCCCAUUUUACUAAUAUUUACAAGAUCAAGUGCUACAUAUUUGGAAAUACAUAAUUUAAAUGUAAGUUAUUUAUUGUCCCUCUAUCCCUCUUAGAACAGCUUCCAAGUGUUAAAUAAAUUCACUUCGGUUUUUUCUUUCCUUAGUUUAUUACUUAAUGAGCUUUAAAUAUUCUAAAACUCUAUUUAAUACGGAAGCAAAUAAUUAACAGAACUGGAUUACUAGCGUGAAUCAUACUCAUAUGGCAACUUUUAUCUGAAAAAAUGUUGGAAUGAUUGGAUGGAUUAGUUGCUAGGAAUGUUCAGUGUGCGCAUGCAUGGUGCAAGCUUGGACUGCAUGUGACGAAGAGAAACUAAACUGGAAAAAUAAUCAUAAUCAAGUGUGCGUACAGAUAAUGUCACAUAGAGUCAUGGAGAAGGAAGGCCCGACUUUGAUAAAAAGUUAUAGUAGUGCUCUGUUACCGCCAAUCGUUGUACCCUGAUUUCAAGAUUGCGUUUCCUUUCUUGAAUUUCCUUUUCAAUUCCAGCCCUUGCGUUGUUUUUGUCCCGCUGAGCUCGCCCCUCUGCUGCCGUCGAUAGUCGAAGACGUUCCUCAAUGCGUUUUUGUUUCCGCUUUUUCUCAACUUCUUUUUCCCUUUUCUCAAUUUCUUUUUCCCAUUCUUCAAAUUCACCGCUGCGGAAAACCUUACAUUCCAUGUUAUUGACCCAAAGGGUGAUCAUGUUGGGGUGCUCCGCGACUUCAUUUCUCAGUACAUCAAUUGCCUCGCGGAUGCCCGGACUGUCACUUCUAUAGUACCCGGAGCAUCGGAACACGACCUUCUCAAGACUGUCGAGAUGCUUGAUGCCCAUGUAGUAGUCUUGACUUACUGUGCCUGUGUAGAACUUGAACUCAAGAUGUUUCAGCUUCGGCAUCGCUCCUUCCCCGAAGGUGAUCACCCGUGGCAGACGGCAAUCAACGUAGAACGUCUCUAGCUUUGAGAACCCUCCAUCAGUGAUGGCAACCGGCUCCCGUGGGAGGACCUCGAACCUGAGUUGGAGAGCCUGCAGGUUGGGCAUCUGCGUCUUCAGAAACUCGAGGUCUUCGUGCACCAGUUUGCAGAGCCUGAUAUCUAAGGAGCAGACAUUGCACAAGUCUUGCUUGACCCACUGCGGGACUUUCAUGUGUCUCCCGGCAACUCUAAGCAUCCGAACUGGUAGGACUUCACACUUCGAGCCGAAAUGGUUAAAGAGGAUGAGGAUGGAUAGGUCAUCCCUUUGCGACAUAAUAACAUCUUCACAACCACUUUGCAACAUCAACUUCUCCACUUGAACAGAUAACCUAUUUAUGUUUGUAUCAACAACCACACUUAAUAACGGAUUCGGGUCUUUACUGCAGGAUAUCUCUCGUACCUUAGAACCACUUAUGUCCAGAGUCCUCAGAUGCUGCAGUUUCCCGAUUUCCUUGGGCAACUCUGUCACCGGUGUCCAGCUUACAUUCAGAGUCUUCAAAGAUUGCAAUUUCUCGAUCCACGUAGGCAGCUCCGUGACCUCUGUGCCACUUACAUCCAGAGUCUCCAAGCGCUCAAGGUUCUUGAUUUCCCUUGGUAGCUCCUUGACCUUUGUGUACUGUACAUACAGAUUCUUCAAAGAUUGCAAUUUCUCGAUACACGUAGGCAGCUCCGUGACAUUUGUGCAACCUACAUCCAGAGUCUUCAAAGAUUGCAAUUUCUCGAUCCACGUAGGCAGCUCCGUGACCUUUGUGCCACAUACAUUCAGAGUCUCUAAGUGCUGCAGUUUCCCAAUUUCCGUUGGUAGUUUUCUAAUCGAUAUACCUACCACGCACAGGGUCUCCAGAUUCUGCAGUCUCUCAAUCUCCGUUGGUAGUUCACGAAUCCAUGUACCUCCCACGUACAGGGUCUCCAGAUUCUGCAGUUUCCCAAUCUCCCGUGGGAGCUCUGUGAUAUCACGGCACUGCAUAAGAUCCAGACACUUGAGCGAGAUCAGCCCACAUAUAUCCACCAGAUGACGAUAUUCUAGACGACCACUGCUUUCAUCUAUUUGUAGCACUCGCAGCUUUUUGAACGCCUUGAAGGGGACACCAUCCAGCUGGGAUUGCUUACCACAAACAACAAGGGAGCGAGUAUGAGACAGCACAUCCUCAUCUGGACAGCGAUCCGUUCCGAGAGAAAGACGACGGAUCUGUUUGGCAUGCGAGGAGUUUGGCAUAUCGCCCCAAUGGUAAGCAAUAAAAUUAUCUUCCUUUGCUUUGCACACGAGGAAGGCUAAGAUAAUGGGGUGAAUUAAGUAGUAAAAAUCCUGUUCCCGCUCCAACAGAUUCCUGGAGACAAGCUUGUCAAAGUAAGCUUCUGCUAUUUCAACUUGCGAAACAAAUCCUUCAGCAACCCACUUUCUCACCAAGCCUCCCGUAUAACCCAUCGAAGGACAUAUGGUACAGUAUAGCAAGCAAGUCCUCAGCUGAACGGGAAGAUCGUCGAAACCAAGGCAUAGACUCUGGACCAGUGGUUUCAAGGAUGGAGUGAUCAGAAAUCCAUCAUACAGAACGUGUCUUGCCCAAUAAAAUUCCUCAUCAUCACCUUGCACAUGGUGGCUCUCUGCCCAUGCUGACGACAAACAGAUUACUGCUAGCGGACAAAAAUCAAAUGGUGGACUGUCGCACAUAUCCGCAAUCUCAGUGGACAAAUCCGCAAUCUCAUAGCUGAAAGUUGACAGCCCCUCGACAGAUUUGCUCAGUCUCAUAGCUGAUAGUCUUUCAGCUUCCGCACGACCAAACUUCUGUUCGUACACACCUGCGCGUUGUUCAGUUUCACAUUUCUCAGCUAUACUCCUGACCCGGGUCGUCAUGAUUAUUUUACAGCCCAGAUUAUCCUUGGGAAGAGCCUUACGGAUGACUUCCCAUUCUUCCCAGCGCCAAAUGUCAUCAAUUAUGACCAGGUACCUACAAAAGAAAAACAAGACACAAUACAUUAUAAUGUAUCUACACAAAUAAUGAAAUUCAUUACAUUUUGACACAAAACAUUAUAAUGUAUCUACACAAAUAAUUAUUGGUAACCAAUUUUUUAAAAUAAUCUACAACCAAACAUAGUUCCUUCAUAGAUGACAUCUUGGUACUAAGUUGCGUGCUAAAACAACUUUUCAUGCUAUUGCAAUAACGGAAAAGUUCAAAUUACUCCCUUCAAGUAUGGCCGAAGUCUAGAUAACCCCCAUAAACUUAUAAGAUUUGUCUUGCUAAGGGGUAAAUUGGACCAAUUAACAUAGUUGUAGGUGUAAAGUGAACAAAAAUAGUUUAGGGGUUAUCAGGACUGUGGGCAUACUUGAUGGAAGUAAUUUGGAAAUUUUCCUUACAAUAACAAAAAAUGAAAUGUAUCGUCUUGCCAGAUUUUAGUAACAAACAAAGUGAUGGAUUGGAAUUAGAUUACACCAAAAGCUAGGUUUUCAAACUAACAUGUACCACCUAUGAUUUUCUUGCAAUAUUAGUAGGCAAGAAUGAAUUGGGAAGUCAAAAUCUAGAUUUGUCAAGUCACGACAGAUAGUGUAGGGGCCAACCCUAAAAGAGACCCCGAAUGUCAUUCAUAUCAUUCCCUGGCUUCAUACAGCUUUUAUUGACAUUUUACAUAAGGUUACAAAAGAGAAACAAAGUGCAUCCACUAAGGGUAGCCUCAGGGUAGCAAUACAACAGAGUUCUAUGUAGUAUUCCCAAGUCCACAGGCAACUUGCUCCUAAGGUUGAUCUCCAAGAUCCUCAUCACCUUCAACAAUGAUUUCCUCCUCAAUAGAAAGAAAUCAGUAAAGCAAGUAGAGUACUCAGCAAAUCCCACUGUCGUAGAGUUAUUUCAUGCUGUUUUUUCAUGGAGGGCUCUGGUUUGAUAUUUGCCAAAAAGCCAUUUUUAUGCGGGGUGAAAGGUUAUAGCAAUUAAAAGGAAUAUAGGACAUUUAGCAAUAGUUUGUUGGUCGUGGAAGGGGGAAACUACAUCCCUUCCGGUCCCGUAUUUUAUUUAGCAUCAGGAUCCGUAAGGGACUUCUUGAGCCAACUUUGCCUUAUUUAGAAACAAUUCCUCGGACCAAGGUCCGAUACACAAGAUUUUUCAUAAAAACAAUGUUAUGACUAAUCUAUGCGAGCUUUGACCAAGUGGGCUCAUAUCUGUGAGCCUCGGCUAUCCAGAUACAUUCCAAGAAAGCAGAUGCAUCAUAAAUGUGGUAUACAAUACGAUCAGGCCACUCUAGACCUCAACCUAUGACCCAUGUCCACCAGACCUAGGACAAAGUGAAGGUCAUGUUCCAGUCUACCCAUUGCCCACCGUGGCCCCUUGGGGUGGUUCACUAAGUUCAACUGGUGGGAUGCGAAUCGAGGCCUCACAUAGAUAGCUACUCUCGAGGUUUGUACCUUUUCAACGCGUGUGGUUGUACGAUUCACCAGAUAGACUUGCCCAUGAACCGGUCCUUAUAUGACCAGAGUAAGCUUUUUGGAUAGGAUCCUCCAUCGAGGCUACCCUCUUACUCUCAUGUCUAGCCUAAUUUGGUUGCUAGACUUGUUAGUUAUUUUAUCUAAUUUUAAAAGCACGCAAACCUUUUGGUAUUUUGUAAACUUGUGAAUGACUCCAUAAGUAGUUCCUAAGCAUUUCUAUUGCAUCCUAGGUUUAUGGUAUCAAGGAGGGCUUGAAUUAUUUAGGAAUAACUUAGCAGCGUAGAGAAAAUAUUAUGCAAGGUUUUGAAUGGAAAGUCCAUGUUAUUAUCUUGGCUCAUUUUAUUUAUAAAACUUGGGAUUCAAGGGAUGCUAAUGCGUGGGACUUGCCUUCUUCAAAGUCUUGUUCGUUCAGAACUUCCUCUUCCUAGUCCAGGUCAUCAAACUCGUUCCCGGUAUUAUCGAAUUCUACAUAAUCAUAGUUAUAAGAAAUCAAUCGAGCAAACAUGGCAAUACAUCAAACAUGAGUUAAAAGAGUAGAAUUAGGGAUUAGAAGGCUUGGGUGAUUUUCUAGAAUUUUGUAGGAUUUUCUAGAGUUUAUUGGAAUGGUUUCCUAUUUUUGGUCACAUGAAAUAUAGGCUUUUCUAUUUUUGGAAAGGAUGAGAGUUUGCUCGGGGGAGUUUUUGGUGUGGGAUUUGGGUAAACAAGGUAUGGAUGGGUUUAGAAUCAUCUCUAAUAUUUUUGGUAAAUGUUUGGUAAUUUUUAUCACGGUGAAGUGAAGUUUGGGGUACAAGAACCCGAGUGGCCAUAGCAAAGAUGAGAAGGAAAGAGAGUAGGGGUUGACAAGUGGGCCAGAUUGCGACGUGGCAAAGGGGGUCCGCGUGGGGCUGGCAUGGUCGGGUUGUGCUGUGGACUGGUGGUCCAUGUGGUGGACUGGGGGCGCGUGCCUGCGGUCCUUGUGGACUGGGAGCAGGGAAGGGGGGAGAAGGGGUGGCGUUGCUUGGGCUGUGAUGCCGAACCAUCGCACAGGGCAAAGCCGCUUGCCAUGGCAAGCUGUGCCAGGUAAGGUAGAGUUUGGGCCAGGUCAAAAAGUAGCCGGGGUGCUAGAGGGGGCCAUGGCGAGGCUAGGGAAGGUGGUGUGGAGAUCAGGGAGUGGCCGGCGGCGAGUCUAGAGCUCGUCGGAGUUCGUGCAAUGGCACGGUAGAUAGGGGAGAGGAUAAUAGGGGCAGCAGAGGCUGGACAACAACCUAGGGAGGAUGGGGGAGUACCUCAGUUACGUAUGUGAGCAGCACAAGGACCGGGAGAGGGAACGAUGAUGAGUAGCAGCGGUGGCCUGAGCAGCGGCGGUGGAGCUCGCGGGGAGUAGCCAGCGAGGCUGCUGCGACGCUCGGGGAGGGGUGGCUACUGCCACGCGGCAAUCCCUGACUUCGAACCAGCUCGGAUCUAGGGAGUAGAGCGCGGCGGCGGGUAGGGGUGGCGUGACAUAGUUUCUAAGUUCGGCAAGAGGGGAUUAAGGUGGAGGGGGAAGGGCGAGGGAGCAGUGAGGAGUGCCGGGGCUAUUUAUAGCCUGGGGACGCUGUGGUGAGCCUUAACCGAGCUUAUCCAGCAGGGGUUCCGUGGCACCAGCGCGACAGCGGCGGCGACACGUGUCGCGGAUGGCGGGAGGAGAUAGGGUCGGGGAAGGGGUUAUGGUAGGAGAGACGGGUGUGUUGGACGCAUGUUGACACUUUUUUUUUACUAGAGUGAACCACAGAGGACAGAGUUCCGAAGCCGAUACGGGCAAAGAAGAUCGAAGCAGAACCGACUCCACUAGAUAAGCGAAGGAGCAUGGAGAUGUAUCUUAGUUAACUCAGUUUUAGUUUUUGGAUUAAUUGUAAUAGUCAUUGUCGUAAUCGACUAGGAUUUGGUACAUGCUAGGGUAUAAAUAUAAGCCCAAGGCAUUGUAAUCUAAUAAUCAACAAUCAGUCAACACAACAGUUCUUCCUUUUUGGCACCCCCCGCCAAAUCUUAGGAGUAUACGUAGAAUAGAAUUGGUGAGUUUCUUCUUGCGUGCAGGGCUGCACCAGCUUCGAUCUCAAGCGAGCUUGUAAGUACCAUCACCCGGUCAUUAUGUUACUUGUAUCAGAACUUUCUCGGUUAAGUCUGAGAUUCUAAUCUCUUAGCGUAAGGCUAGUUAUCGAGUUACCAACAAUUGAAUAAGGUUGCAUCGUUUCGACCUCUUGAUUGUCUUUGAAGUGCUCAUAGUUAUUGAGUUGUUUUGUUUCAUUAAGUUGCAUCGCAUCGAUCUCUUAAUUGCAUCAAAUGCUCACAGUUAUCGGGUUGCUUAGAUCUAAUUAGGUUUGUUCCGCAUCGACUUCCUAGUUGUUUCUAAGCGCUCACUAGUUAUCUGAUCGUAUUGGCUAAUUUGCUUUGCAUGCCUUUAUUGCUUUAUUUUUAAUAGAUCCAAUAAAUCUUUACCCUCACCCCUUGCAUUACCAGCCAAUAGAUCUUUAGUAUGAGACUCCUGCUGUGGAGCCCGAUGCUGUCUUGGUUGGGUCUGAUCCAUCAUUCCCGUAGCAGUCCGAUGCCAUCGAGCCAAUGGCCAUGUGCGCGAGGCCUUGUUAUUGCUUUCUAGUCUUUUAAACCAGAAAGAGCGAGUUAAUGCCCUGCGUUGCCAUGUUGUCCGAUCCAUCGGCUCAUGACAUUGAUUAGCUCCAACAGUCUAAUUAACUAGAAUGUAAUAGACAAGUUAUUUCUUAAUGGCAGUUGUUUUACUUAGGUCUAUCUUAGACCGUCGGCUCAUAUAGCUGAUGGCACAUGCCACUAAUGUUAUCUUUUUUACUUACACCGCAUGAUUACAUUUAACAUAUCUUAUCGGUGUUUAUUCAAAGAACGCCUAUCCAUGAGUUUGAAGGCUUAGCCGCCUAUCGACUCAGGAAUUUUAUGUUUUCCUUAUCAAUUGCAAGUCAAAUUGACUGGCACGCCACGCAUAUUUGGGAGCUAAUUUGGAGCCUGCACUGGAGUUAAGCAAAUCUUCCAGGUCUUCACGUGUUAUUCAACGCAGAGUCUGAAUCCUAGAUUUUGCAUCAACACGCUCUUGGCACGCCCAGUGGGACAAAUAGCCUUAUUACUUGGUCGAUAUCAAUACUCGGCUUAUCGGAGGGAGUCCUAAUGGAUGCUGCAACUGAUGAUAUAGAUGGGAAGUUAGGACAAGGAUUUACAUCAGCUGACCUACUAGAAGAAGUUGAUAUAGGCCCAGGUGAUAUGCCAAGGCUGACGUUUAUAAGUUCUAAAUUAAGUCCUUAGUAUAAGAAAAAAUUAGUAGAGCUGUUGAAAGAGUACAACGAUUGCUUUGCUUGGGAGUGUUAUGAGAUGCUAGGAUUAAGCUGAACGAUCGUGGAGCAUCGGCUACCAAUCAAAUCGUGCCAUCGGCCUUUCAAGCAACUUGCAAGGAGAUUUAAGCCAAAAUUACUUGAAGCGAUCAAAGCUGAAAUUACAAGAUUGUAUGAGGCCAAGUUUAUUAGGCUGUGCCGAUAUGCAGAAUGGGUGUCCAAUAUCAUGCUUGUCAUCAAGAAAAAUGGAAAACUUAGAGCUUGUGUGGAUUUCCAGAAUGUGAAUAAAGCUACAGCAAAGGAUCAGUACCCAAUGCCAGUUGCAGAUACAAUGGUUGAUUCAGCAUCAGGUCAUAAGAUCUUGAGUUUCAUGGAUGGGAACGUAGGGUAUAAUCAGAUAUUGAUGGCAGAAGAAGUUAUCUCAAAGACUGUGUUUUGGUGCCUAGGGGCUCUUGGGUUGUAUGAAUGGGUGGUCAUGACUUAUGGCUUAAAGAAUGCUAGUGCAACUUAUCAACCAGCAAUGAAUUACAUUUUCCAUAAGCUCAUUGGUACAGUGGUGGAGAUCUAAAUCGAUGACGUGGUAGUCAAAUCUAAGACCCCAGAAGGACAUCUGGCCGAUCUACGUGAAACACUGGACUUCACAAGGUAGCAUGGUUUAAAGAUGAAUCCAAAUAAGUGUGCUUUCGGUGUAUCGGCUGGGGAAUUUUUAGGUUUUAUGGUGCGUGAAAGAGGAAUUGAAGGUGGUCAAAUGAGUAUCAAAGCUAUUAAUAUUGCUGUUCCUCCAACAAAUAAGACCGAGUUGCAGUCUCUGGUUGGGAAAAUUAACUUCAUCAGGAUAUUUAUAUCCAGUCUAUCAACACGCAUCGAGCCAUUUAUGCCCCUGUUGAAGAUAAAGCCUGAUCAAGAAUUUGUGUGGCGAGAAAAGCAAUAAGCAGUACUGGAUGAAAUUAAGAAAAAUUUAAAUCACCACCGGUUCUGAUUGUGCUGCACACAGGAUCGGCCAUUCAAGUUGUACUUAUCAGGAGCGGGUUGUCUUUUAUUUGAGCAGAAGGUUUUUGGAUGCAGAAACCAGGUAUCCUCCCAUUGAGAAAUUAUGUUUGUGCUUGUAUUUUUCAUGCAUGAAAUUAGGCCAUUAUCUGUUGACAUCUGAGUGCAUGGUGGUAUGCAAAGCCCAUGUAGUAAAAUAUCUGGGAAAAAGUCCAUUUUACUCCCCCUCACCUAUUUACUUUCUCCGCUUAACCCCUAAGCAAAAUUUAGGUUCACUUUACUCUCCUGAACUAUUUCAUUUGGUUCAAUCUACACACUAAUUAGAUUUCUCUUUUUUGUUAGAAAAAUACUUUAGAAAUUCUUUAUGAUUACUUUUUUUAUAAUUUUGUAUAUCUAAGAUCAAUUUCGUAUUAAAUAUUUCUAACAUAUGAAAAUAACUAUGAAAAAUUCUUAGUAUAAUUUUUUUACAUAAGGGAUUGUGUUUUACAUCUGCUCACAAAAUUUGAACUCAAAAUUCAACUCAUACAUGGAGAAAGAAAAAAGAGAAAUCAGAUUAUUUGGUAGAUUGGACCAAAUGAAAUAGUUUAGGGGAGUAAGGUGAGAGCCUAAAUUUUAUUCAGGAGGUUAAGCGGAUAAAGUGGAUAAGUGAGGGGAGUAAAAUGGACUUUUUCCAAAUAUAUGUUGUCAGCUCCUAUCAUGAAAGAAAGGAUGUCCAAAUGGAUUUUGGCGUUAACUGAAUUUGACUUACGAUAUAGGUCCGUUAAGGCAGUAAAGGCGCAGGCUGUAGCCGAUUUCAUCGUUCAACAUCGUGAUAAAUCUGUUGACAUGAUAGAGUUGGCACCGUGGGUUUUGUUUUUUGAUGGAUCAUCGUGAUGGAUCAUCUUGUUUUUUGAUGGAUCAUCUUGUGACCUCCGCAGGCGGCGUGAGGUCGGGGCUGGGAAUGGCAUCAAGCUUGGGGGUGGCGAGUGGCGCGCUCGCCUACGGAGCUCACGUGCAACAGCUCGUCGGUGGAGCUCCGGGAGGAAGACUGCAGCGUGCUCACCGGCGAAGGUCGGGGGCAGCAGCUCAUCGGUGGAGCUCUGGGAGGAAGACUACGGCACGCUCAUUGGCAGAUCUCGAGGAGGAAGACAGGCGGCGGUGUUAGCUCAGGGCGGAGGGCAGCACGCUCGACGGUGCUGAGCUCCAAAGCUGCGAGCGACACUAUCUCGGGGCGGAGGACGGCAUGCUCGUCGGUGGUGCGCGCACGGGAGCAGCUCAGGUAGGGAAGGAAAGGUUUGGGGUGGGGUGGGGGGGGGGGGGUGGGAAGCCAACAAGCCAGAUGCGGUCAGCUUCUGAGCUUUUCGAGUUUGACGUUAUAAUGGAAGAAGUGCUUCCAUUAUAAGUCGAUGAGAAGCUGCACGUUUGGCAGGCUACACAGCUUAAAAAUAAGUAGAAGCGGCAAAUAAGCAGCUCCAAACGGGGUCAUAAUGACACAUGAUAGAUCCAAUUUGUAUUUGGAAAUAAGUUGCAUUACAUGCAUAUUUUAAUCGUUACAUACACGUGACAGGUCCAAUUCUUUUAGAUAAAUGACACUUAGACCCUGUUUGGAUACACAGUGCUAAACUUUAGCAUUUACCCUCAAAUGGAGUGCUAAAGUUUAUCACUUGAGGCUGUUUGGAUACUGUGCUAAAGUUUAGCACCUUUGAUGAGAAAUGACUACAUUGCCCUCAUUUAUUACUCCUCUUCAUUCCUCUCCUUUUUUUCCUCCUCCUUUUCCUCAUCUCCUUUACCCCUGCGAGCUACUGCGCCUCCAUUCCCUCCCGCCACCACCGCCGCCACCUCCCUCCCCGCUCCUCCCUCGCGCCCCCUCCAGAUCCGUGCGCCGGGCAGAGGAGGCGGGGCCAGGCGGAGGCGGGCGUUGGAGGCGGGGCCAACGAAGGUGGCGGGGCCCCGCAUUGCUGGUGGGGCCCAGCAUUGCUAGCGGAGGCAGUGGGGGCAGCCGACGGAGGUAGCAGGGGUGCCCGGAGGAGGCUGGUGGCGGAGACGGCGAGGCGGCGCUGGUCGGAUCCCAAGCCGGCGGCUGCCCGUGAGGUGGUGGCGGCGCGGGUCGCGCGGAGGAGGCGGGGCCAGCGGAGGCGGCGUGGCACGCCAGCAAAGCUGGCGGGACGGGCUGAGGAGGCGGGGCUGGCGGAGGUGGCGUGGCACGCCGGCGGAGGCGACAAGGCCGGGCAGUGGAGGCAGGGCCAGCGGAGGCAGCGGGGGCGGGCGGCGGAGGCACGGCAGGCAGAGGCAGCGGGGCAGUGUAACACCCAAAAUUUUCAAGAGUUUAAAUUCACUAAAAUUUGCUCAAAUUAGGAUGUCAUUUAAAUUCUUAGGCAUAUUAAUUUUCAUUUUAUACCAAUUAAAUUAAUUCACCAUAGGAGUUUAUUGUGCAUUCAUGCUACUGCAUAAUUUUGGUUGAUUGUGUUUGAAUCAAAUUUGAAUUUCAAAUUCAAUUUCCAAUUUUCAAAACCUUUCCUUCUAUCCUUUUCUUUUUUUUCUUUUUCUUUCUUCUCUUGGGCCGCACUCUUCUCCUACCCCUUCCUUCUUUCUUUCGGCCCAGCGCCUCCUUCUCUUCCGGUAGCCCAGCACCACUAGCUCCUCCGGCCCACUCCACUUUCCCCUCGCUAGCCCAGCUUCUCUCCCUGCUCGCCCGCUCCCUUUUUUCCUCCGCCGACCCACGAAACUGUGCGAGCCCAACAGCCACGCCAGCCCGCCUUCCACCCGUGGCCACCGACAGGUGGGCCCCGCCGUCGUCUCCCACCUCCGGCCGGACUCCUGCCCGCCGGCAACAGCCGCGCGAGAUCUCCGCGCGGGAGCCGCCUUCCCGGCCGAUUUGAAUGCGAUCACCCCUUAUCCCUUGACGUGCAAGCCGCCGCCAUCCGCACCUAUUUAAGUCGCCGCUCCCUCCUGGCCUCGAGCACCCCACGCCAGCACCCGAAACCCUAGCCGCCGCGAGCUCCAGCGCCGCCGCCACUUCUCCGCUGCCAAGCACCGCCCUCCGAUGAGCCUCGGUCAUCAUGAACCACCAAAACGAGAUCGUCGUGCUUUUCUCCUGCUUCUGGCGUUUUCUGCGCGCGAAACCGAGCCCCGGAGCGCCAUUUUGGCUAACUCCGGUGACCCUGCCGCCUGCUGCAUUUUCCGCCGCCGCCGUGCUAUCGCCGAUGACCGCGACCGUCGGAUCCAGAUCCGAUGGCUCACAGCAGGUCAACCAGAUCGCGUACCGGGCAACCGCGCCGCGCCACUGUUCUUUUGCACAUAAGCCCUCGCCUUUUCCACAAAUCAACCCGUGGUCCAGAUCGCGUUGAAAAUAUUUACAGAUCUGCCCUCGUAUUUUUCGGAUUAAGCCCUGAGUUUUCUAAAAAUCAACCCGCCAUCCAUUUUGGAGUUUUUGUGCGUUAAACCUUCGGUUUAUACGCAUGACUACGUAUAGGUCCUCGGUUUUUCGUAGUUUGACCCUAGAAGUUUUGUUUUUCUCGCAGAAAGCCCCUGGAUCUUGUUUUAAUCAUAACUUUUGCAUCUUAACUUCGUUUUUCUUGUUCUUUAUAUGCACGUGUUCAUUUCAAAGCGUAGAUAAAUUUUACAAGCUUGUUUCCUCUGUUUAAUUGUGAUUGGUGUACUGUUUCUUACUUUAUGCCCAUGUUUGCUUGUAUGUGCUCGUGUGACGCGUGUAGAUGUUCAACAGUUGGAGGGAUUUGAAGAUCAAGCCUUCGAGGAGUAAGAACAGUAGGAGCAAGGCCAAGAAGGCAAGUCAUGUCCUUGAUCACUACUUUUUAGUCCUAUACACCUUUACUUUCUCGUACUCAACUAUUAUGCUAUGCACAUGUUAAGAUUAAAUUGAGGGUUCCCAAUUAAGGUUCACCUAGAUUGAAAUUACCUUUGCCUUAACCAACCGGGUUUACUUUUAUCUUGGGUAGCUCAUGCUUAGUGCUUACUUGGUAUAGGGUGGUUUAACUGAACUCAAUAUUUAGUCUUGCUUUACUUCUGUUAUACUUUUCAUUAAUACAAGAUCAUAAGUGUUUAAUUGGAACAUGGAGAACCACCCAGGAAAACAGUGCUACCACAAGACUAAAUGGCUCUGGUCUUGGCUGAAUAAUUAGAAACUCUAGUCUGGGGUAAUCUUACCGAAAGGGCAAGAGGGGAGGCGUUGAUGGGAUAUAGCACUCGCUCUCGGGGGAAGUGGGCUUUGCUAAGACACUAUACCCACUAGGGGACCGCUAUGUUCUGCUUCGACCUGAAACCUUAGCGGGUUACCACAUUGCUAGCGAAUCUUUGUAAAGGCCUCAUAGCGUCCCUAUGCAAUCACACCUCGGAAGUGUGGUAUGGUGCAUUGCAAACACCGCAUGGUUGGGUCCAAAGUUCUUUUAAACUUUUACGUGACUUGUGGGUAAAGAUGUGCCUCCUCUGCAGAGUGUAAAACUGAUCAAUCAGUCGUGCUCACAGUUAAGAGCGACCUGGACCCUCACAUGAUAAUACUAUUGAAAGUUGGACUUAAAUUGUUGUCAUCUUAUGCAUAUGUUGUUUACUUUAUUUAUGCUCAUGUCUAAUUUCGGGUGGUAUAAACUUAUACUUAGUUAAUUGCUAAUAAAACUUGACCGACUUAACUAAAAGCUUAUGCUAAUUAAGCCUUAGCCAUACCUUGAUUUGCCUUACACUACACUAUUCCCCACGACUUGUUGAGUACCAACCAUAAGUGUACUCACCCUUGCAAAACCGUUGUUCAGACCAAGAUAAUCCGGUGGAGUACUUUGACGACUUUGAGGAGUUCUAGGCAUACGGUUCUUCAGUCAGCUGCCUGUGGUGUCAUCGUCGUCUUUGGAGUUCCGCUACGUAAUAAUUUAGGCUUUGUGGUUUAUUUGAGACUUUCGGUCAUGUAAUAAUGGUUAAUACUCUCUUUAUUUCGUUAUGGCACUGUCUUUGAUAUUCGCUCAUGUCGUACAUGUGUGUAACUUGAUCCUGGCAUACAUGUAUUUAAUGCACUCGAUUUUGUCCUUAAAAUCGGGUGUGACAGGCAGGCGGAAGAGGCAGGUGGCGGGAAGGAGAGAGAGGAGAGGAGAGAGGGGGGCAGCAGGGGAAAAAAUAGGCUUGGGACCACUUUUAGCACCCAUUAGCACCUUUUAGCACCUCUUUGGGUGUGCUAAAGAAAAUUGGGGUGCUAAACUUUACCACACCUUUUUUAGCACCCCUGUUUUGGAGCCCAAGUGCUAAAAGGUGCUAAAAAGUGAGCUGCUAAAGUUUAGCACCCCUCUCCAAACAAGGCCUUACACCUCCGUGAGCGAGAUUGCCCACGAGUUUGCCGACCUUUUUUCAUAUUAUUAUAAUUAUCUAAUUGCAUGUUUUAUUCAAAUUGAUGGCUGGGAUUCACAUGUUUUAUGGAGUACCUAGCAAAAAGGUUAAUGGUCUAGCAAAUAUUAAUUGAGUACUCCAUAAAACCUUCACAUAAUCAUAUAGGAGCAAAUAAAAAUAACAUGGUACAACUGAUAAAAACAAAGAUGUUUGAUCGAACACUUGGUCAAUAGUGCCAUAUUGGUCAGCUCUGAAUUAUUGUUAAAUUAUAUGCAUUUCACAAAGUUCAAUUGUCUCUGGAUUUUCCAAAAUAAUGCAAAUAUGAGCGGACGCACUGGUUGUGGAACUAGCGUUGCAAACAUAAUAUGAUUUUGUUCAGAAUAGUACACUAACAAAUACAUACGUGGUAUUUAAGAACGGAAUCAGGAAGUAGAGUGGGAAUGGAGACGACAUACCUCUUGUCAGAGAGGAAAUUUGAUAUGCGUUUGAUGAAAUCAUUUUGCUCGGCUGCAGGCGGUUCAGUGCCACUGCUAGCAGAAAGAAAAUUAGGAAAUUUGAAUUGAAUUGGUCAAUAAUGCCACAUCGGUCGCUUAUAAAUGCUAAAUUAUAGGCAUUUUACAAAGUUCAAUUAUUAUCUAUAUGGAUUCUCAAAAAAUAAUGCAAAAUAAUAUGAUUUGUUCAAAAUAGUAUGGGUUUUGGAACUAGCGUUCCAAUUUCCUAACAUAGUAUGAUUUGUUCAAUAUAGUAGAAUAACACACACGGAGUACUUAGGAACACAAUCAGGAAUGAAGUAGAGUGAGAAUGGAGAGGUCGUACCUCUUGUCAGAGAGGGAAAUUGAUAUGUCGGUGACGAUAUUUUGUUGGGCUGCAGGUUCGGUGCCACUGCCAGCAGACAUUGCACCAUCUGUUACUUGGCUGAGGAUGGUACCCAGAAUCUCCGUCAUGUUAGGACUUGGGUGCACGGACACGAAAGCCCGGCAUUGGAAUUCAUCUCCUACUAUUGUCUGAUACACCAGAUCUGCAAGAGUUGUUUUGCCCAUCCCUCCAGGUCCAAGAAUGCAUACCAUUUCGUGCUUCUGAAGCAACUGGAUGACCUCCGCCUUCUUUUCUUCCAUGCCCACAAGCUCCGAUGCAUCCUUGUGGAGGAAGUGAGCUCGAGGGUCGGUGGUCAGCUUGCUACGGUUGCAGAUGGCGUCGCCAAUCUUCUGCAUCUUGCCGCACUUCUUCGAUACAUCUUUGACUCUUUCCAUGAAUUCCUUGAAAGGGCUGUCUGUGGCUUCCCGCUGGAUGAAGCUGCCGUCACCACGCUCCAAACCGAGAGUGAAGUCGUCGAUGUCGUCCUCCAUGUCGUAGGACAGCUCUCGGGCCUCUGUCAUCCAGUUCUUGCAUGCCGCAUCAAGAUCCAACUUCCCCCAUAACUUCCACAGGAGAUGGUGAACUGGCUCGAGCUCGGAUUUGAUGAACAUGAUGUCUCCCCGGGUCUUCUCGUGUAGUUUGUACUCAUCACCCAGCAAAGCAGAGAGCUUCACCAGGACCGGCCCCAACGCCCCGGUCGCCGCGGUUACGGGGGCAAACCGCUCGUCCAUCUCUCCCGGACUCUCCAUGCACAAGCGAAUGGCAGGAGCAGGCUUUCUGUGUAGUGGAGCACUCUCUCUGACUGAAGGAUUAUUGCUUCCGAUGAUUGGCCAUCUCUCUUGCUAUGACUUUCAGCAUCCCACCAACCAUGGAGGAGUAAUGGUAAUAAUUUAUCUUUUGGUAUGAUUCACGAAGUUCGUGGGAAAAAAUUAUUAUAAUCCUUCCUUUCGUCUACCACGCUCCUCUGCACUGCACAAGGCAAUAAUGGCACAUGGAAUUAAUGGAGGACGACAGGGUGCCGGUGGUCCAUAGUGACCGCGCGGCCACCGAGACAAGUCGCCGGCCCCCAACCACUUAGAGCACUGUGCUGCGAUCUGCACUCGCUGAGAGAUGGCAUAGCAUGUGCUGCAGCAUUAACAAGGAAACAAAACCGCGCAUAACCCGCUUCCAAGUCGCACCCCCAGGGAAUCACCCAUGUCGUCCUCGCGCAUAAUCCGCUUCCGAGUCGCAAACCCCUCCCCCGGGAAAAUGGAUCGCCCCCACGUUGUCCCGAAGGGCGACACGGAUGGCACCACAAUCCCGCCGCCGGCCCUCCGCCUCCACCACCGUUGCUCCCGCUCCCUUCCCACCUUCGGCAUCUCGCUAGAGGUCGGAAGGAGUAGGGAUCCAUCUCUCUACGCUCUAAUAGAUUUUAGUAGAUCAAGUUCAAUUUUAGGGUUUAGAUUUCUCCAUGCCACGGUUCGUGGUAUUGGAGUUUUAUUUCCUCCUUAUCUAAUUGAUUUUACUUGAUUGUUCUUAAAUGUAAUUUUAUUUUCUUCGAGAGUGCUGUGUGUGACAUGAUGUACUCAGCUUUGAUUUAAUACAAUUCUUCCUUUGAUCUAAAAAAAAGCAUGUGCUGCAUUAAUGCCAUGUACUCCAUCCGUUUCAAAUUGUAGGUCAUUCAAACUUUCUUGGAGAGUCCAACCAUUUUAUAUUUGACCAAAAUUAUAAAAAGGAUUAUAAAGGUUUAUGGUACCGAAUAGAUAUACUAUGAAAAUAUAUUUAAUGAAUAAUCUAAUAGUACUUAUUUGGUAUAAUAAAUGUCAGCACUUUAUUGUAUAAAUUUGGUAAAACUUGAGAUGCUUUGACUCUCAAAAAAAUUGCAAUAGCUUGGAAUUUGGGAGGAGGGAGUAGUUGAAGACAGUCCAUCCAUAUGGUUACCGGUACCUGCCGAUCAGACCUCUCAUUUGGCUUAACUUUUUUCGGCUAUGUGUGUUCUUUAUCGAUGCAAAGAAACCCAUCUGACAACAAUUUAUAUGUUCAUUAAUUAAACAUACUGGACCAUCCGUCAAUAUUUUCGUACGGGUUUGUAAUUUUGACAAACAUAAGUACUUAAACAUUUAUGAAAAAAUUACGGACAGAGUUACUACUUAAUAAUGAUAAAGUUUACCUGCAAGCUCUCUUAGUCGCUAAAUAUUCUUAAGCGAUACUCAUGUAAACACGUACUAACAUUUAUUCACUUGCGAAAACGUAUCAUACAUAGUAAUUUGGAUCCCCUCUAAAACCAAGGAAAAGUGUAGGAAUUUCGAGGAAUCGGAUCCUAUAGAAAUUUUUUCUAUGAAGUAUUUUGGAACAAUGGAUUGAAUUCCUACCUAUCCUACGUAUCAUACAUAGUAAUUUGGAUCCCCUCUAAAACCAAGGAAAAGUGUAGGAAUUUCGAGGAAUCGGAUCCUAUAGAAAUUUUUUCUAUGAAGUAUUUUGGAACAAUGGAUUGAAUUCCUACCUAUCCUAUGAAAUUGCUAUGGUAUGCCUUGUACCAUACUUCCUCAAUCCUGAAAUAUAAGGUAUUUUGGUUUGUCCGAUGGAUUUUACUUGAUAAGAAGGCUGGUAUGGAAAGAUAUCUCUACCCGCAGGUGUACUAAUCGACAAAAUCAUCCACCAUCGGGUAAGCGGAUGUGGAUACAGGUACAUGCUACCCAUACCCACAUACACAUAUGUAAAAUAUACCUAGCUAAAAUAUGUGAUAAACUCAUAAACUUGCAACUUGUUAGUGAAGGUAACUUAGAUUGGUAACGAACUAAUAAUUUCAUGAUCCAUUAGACUAUUAAAUGGUUAAAAAUUAUCUAUUGCCUUUUUUAUUUACUCAAUUUUGUCGAUGUAUGCUUUUUAUAUGUGUUAUAUUUAUGAUUAUAGUAGUUUAUAGUAGGUAUACUCUCAAAAUUCCCAAGCGGGUACGAGUUGUACCCGCAUGCGGGUAUGGGUAUUUUCACCGAUAAAGUAAGAGUUGGUGAGUACGAGCAUCCACCCAACUAAAGUUUAGCUAGUUUUUAGCUAGCUAAAGUUUAUCUAGAAGAAUUUGUAUCCACUAGAUAAAUAAUAGUUGAGGAGAUAUUUAUCUAUCCUACCCUUUCCUCCCACUUUGUAAACUUUUCCGAGGAAGGUGGAGGGGCAAUUUGGUCUCUUGUCAGUUUAGUUGACUUUAGCUGGGUUCAACCAGCUAAAAGAAUAUUUAGCCAACUAAACUUUAGUUGGGUUCUGUCUAGAUCCAUAGCAGCUAAAUUUAGUUAAAUUUAGCCAACUAAAUUAAGCUGUGGAUCCAAGACCGAACCUAAAACUUUUUGCUGCUAGAGGGAAGAAAGCAGCUAUAGUUGCUUGGCAAAAAACUUAUUCGUGAUCGGGGAAUGGGGAAGACCUUAACCGCGCAGCCCACGGGAAGUCGCCGGCCCCCACCCACUUAGAGCACUGUGCUGCGAUCUGCACUUGCUGAGAGAUGGCAUAGAAUGUGUUGCAUCACUUACAAGGAAACAAAAACCGCACAUAAUCCACUUCCGAGUCGUACCCCUGCGAAAAACGAAUCGCCCCCACGUCAUCCCGAAGGGCGACACGGGCGGCAGCGCAAUCCCGCUGCCGGCCCUCCACCUCACCACCGUUGGUCCCCCUUCCUUCCCACCUUCGGCAUCUCUCCAGAGGUUGGAGGGAGUGAGGAUCCAUCUCUCUAAUAGAUUUUAGUAGAUCGACUCCAGUUUUAAGGUUUAGGUUUCUCAAUGCGACGGUUCGUGGUAUUGGAUAUUUAUUUCCUCCUUCUCUUUUCCGGCAACGGUGAGGAGGUAGGGUGGAUUUCUUUGUCCAUGGCGACUCCAAUGAAGAUGAUGGUGGCAACUACGGCGUCGGCAACUUCCUUGGCAUGAUGACAUGGACAAUUAGAUUUCCGGAUGGCGGUAUUGAGGUAGGGAUGAUGCUGCCAUCAUGGAAUAAUUUUGUCCAGCCCCUUCUCCAUUUUUUCGUGGUUAGAUCCAACCACGAUGAAAGGCUUAUGAGAAUAAUUCUACCCCUUGAGCUGAUGUUGAUCAGUCUUUGUCACACCCGAUUUUAAGGACAAAACCGAGUGCUUUCAAUACAUGUGCGCCAGGAUCAAGUUACACACAUGUAUGACAAUAAUGAAUAACAAAGACAGCGCUAAAGCAAAUAGAGGGAGUAUUAAACAUUAUUACAUGACCGAAAGUCUCAAUAAAACACAAAGCCUAAAUUAUUACGCAGCGGAACUCCAAAGACGACGACGACACCACAGGCAGCUGACUGAAGAACCGUACGCCUAGAACUCCUCAAAGUCGCGCAAGUACUCAUCCAGAUUAGCUUGGUCUGAAUAGCAGUUUUGCAAGGGUGAGUACACUUAUGGUUGGUACUCAACAAGUCAUGGGGAAUAGUGUAGUGUAAGGCAAAUCAAGGUAUGGCUAAGGCUUAAAUAGCAUCAACUUUUAAUUAAGUUGGUCAAGUUUUAUUAGCAAUUAACUAAGUACAAGUUUAUACCACCCGAAAUUAAACAUGAGCAUAAAUAAAGUAAACAACAUAUGCAUGAAAUGACAACAAUUUAAGUCCAUCUUUCGAUAGUGUUAUCAUGUGAGGGUCCAGGCCGCUCUUAACCGUGAGCACGGCUGAUCGAUCAGUUUUACACUCUGCAGAGGUGGCACAUCUUUACCCAUAAGUCGCGUAAAAGUUCAAAGAACUUUGGACCCAACCAUGCGGUGUUUGUAAGGCACCAUACCACACUUCCGAGGUGUGAUUGCAUAGGGAUGCUAUGAGGCCUUUACAAAGAUUCCCUAAUAAGAAGUGGUCCGCUAAGGUUUCAUGAUCAACGCAGUAUAUAGCAGUCCCCUAGUGGUAUAGUGUCUUAGCCAAGCCCACUUCCCAAGAGAGCGAGUGCUAUACUCCAACUACUGUCUCCCCCUCUUGCUCUUUCGGUAAGAUCGCUCCAAACUAGAGUUUCUAAUUAUUCAGCCAAGACCAGAGCCAUUUAGUCUUGUGGUAGCACUAUUUUCCUGGGUGGUUCUCCAUGUUCCGAUUAAACACUUGUGAUCUUGUACUAAUGAAAGGUAUAACAGAAGUAAAGCAAGAUUAAACAUUGAGUUCAGUUAAACCACCAUAUACCAAGUAAGCACUAAGCAUGAGCUAGCCAAGAUAAAAGGUAAACCCGGUUGGUCAAGGCAAAGGUAAUUUCAAUCUAGGCGAACCUUAAUUGGGACCCAUCAAUUUAAUCUUAACAUGUGCAUAGCGUAAAUGUUGAGUACGAGAAAGUAAAGGUGUAUAGGACUAGAAAGUAGUGAUCAAGGACACGACUUGCCUUCUUGGUCUUUCUCCUGCUGUUCUAAAGCGUCCCCACAUAAGUAGAGACUAAAUGUGAUCCAAUUAUCAGUCCCAGGAGGCUGAUAACACAUUUAUUCAACAGAUAGUUUAGAAACCGUACAACUCCCGAAGGAGCGGGCGGGCAAGCCACACCCAAAGCAAGACUAAAGCGAUAACAAUACAAAUUCAAGUUGCAGUCCAGUCGGACUCUGGGCUGCAAUCGGAACUAUGCGUCAGCGGAAGCAUCCUGCAAAAGGGCCAACACCGCAGGCAGCGUUGGGUGCAGACGCAACCUCCUACUCGAAGUCCUCGGCGACGAAGUCCGGAUCCUCCUCUGAAGCAACAACACAAGGGUGAGUACAAAAGUACUCAACAAGUCCAACCCCAUCCACGGAGGGGGAUACAACAACAAUAUGCAUAGGAUUCAACAAGAAUAUGGUUAAGGUUUAUUUGCAAUAAAGCUAGAUUUAUGACAUAUACAGGGUUUCAUUUAAAAGGAUUUUCAUAAAGCAUUUUCUUUAAUAAAUGAUAUAUCAAGUGGGGUUGAUCCUACACAAAGAAUCCAAGUUUUAUCGCUACCAGACUCCCCGUCCGCCGUAGCGCACGGCACAACUGUCGGACACUUCCAAAAUCCAACACACACCAUAAAAACCAGUCAUCUCCCAAAAGCUAAUUGUGUGACCGAGCCGUAACUCGUCCAAUGCCGUGGACACGGCUACCCGGAAAGGUUUUAACUUUGCAGAGGUUAUACACUUUUCCCACAAGUAGGGUACCGUAUCACGAUCACCUUAGUGAUGGUACGGAUCCUAACAAAGCCAUUACCCACCUUAGCCAAUACUGACUAGUCAACACGGAAGCACCCAAGGGGUUAGCAACCCAUCCACGGGGCUGAAACCGGGACCUAAGUCACCAAGAGCUUAGUCCUUUUCCAAGGGUUCCCGUUGCUCACCAGCACACCUGAAGCCUAGCAGUUUAGCUAGUGGGGUUUAUGCUAAGCCGUUGCCCAUACAACGGUCAAGUGGUUGCACGAUGAUGAAAUUAGGUAAGAUGACACAUCAACUCGGUCCUUAGCCAUGAAAAGAUGGAUAUCUCCCAACUCUGCUCAACCACUAAGGUACGAGCUCAACAAUCCGGCAUUCCACACAAGAAACGCCCAUCCAUCUCAUCCACCACCUUUCUUUACACCCGAAAACCCAACUCCUCAAUUGAACACACUCACACCUUAAUUUUCCGAAUAAACAGAUGUAGUCAUGAUUGAAUUUGGAUAAUGAGUUCCUAAGCAUUCUAGCAGUAUUUAUCAUCUAAACAGAGCAACUCAUAUUUAGAGAGAAAUAUGGGAUGACAAGGAAUAAUCAUAACAAUCAAGGGGUGGCUAUCCAACCAUGUCUUGCGAUAAAACAACAUGCAUUUUAUAGAACAGGCCAAUAGGUUGUGUCUGAAAAACUGGGUAUUAAAUAUGCAUCAAAGGGUGAGAUUGGACUUGCCGUUCUCAAAGCCUUCCAAUAGCUCCUGCUCGCGGUACUGGUCCUCGGGCUCGGGCUCGCGGUCGAACUCCUCCUCACGCUCCUUCUCGGGUACUCCGCGAUCUACGGCACACACAAACGAGCACACAAUAAAUAAAAAGGAAAAAGGUUUUACCCGUUGAGCUCCGAACAGGAAAUAUGAACGGAAAAUACGUAGGAAGGGUAUUUUCAUGAACUUUGGAUAUGCCUCAGCGGAAAUAUAUGAGAGGAGGUUGUGGUCGAAUUUGGGAUCGAUUGGAGGAAGUUUGGCGCAUGAAAUGACGGGUUAAAGGAGUAUUAGGGGCUUUAAAAUGGGGUUUAGGACUAAACCGCGAGAACCAGGGACUUGUUUGUAAUUAUUUCCGAAAGGUGGAAGGGCAUAUCUGCGAGACUUUUUCUGAGAGAGGUGGGAGGGCCGGAUUGUAAAUAGAUGAGAAUAGAGGGGUAGAUCAAAAUUGAAGGAGCUUCUUCUUCCUUUGGCCGGUUACAGGAAGUGGAAAAAGGGGGGGUCGACGAUGGCCGGUCGGGCGGCCGAGCCUUGCCGGCGGUGGGUCCCGACGGUGGGGAAAGAGAGGGGGAGGCAUGGAGGUCCCAUUUUGGCGUUCACCUUGGAGAUUGGGAGGUAGAAGGACGGGCGGCCGGCAAUGGUGAAGGCGGCAGCGCACGGUGGAGGCGGCGGUUGGGCGCACGGGAGGGAGCAGGGUAGGUGCGGCGGUGAACUAGCGGCGGUGGGUGGUGCGGAGAGCCGGGCGCUGCCCCUUUUAUAGGCCAGCGAGGGGGGGCGGCCGGUGGUAAUGAUGGUGGCUGGGACUUUUCCGGCCGAUGGCGUGCCGGGGCGGGCUUGCUCGUGGAUGGCGUGGCGGAGUGGUCGACGAGGAAGCACAGGGGCGGCGACUUCAUGGGGAAGCGCGCCGGGAGGGGACGGGCGGAGACCGGCCGGCGGCGCCGGCGCGACACGUGCGGCUCGGGCGCACGGGCAGGGGCGGGCGAGCCGAGCAAAGCGGCCGGGCGCGUGGCGCGAGGGGCGAGGCGGCCAGGCGCGCGCGGUCGUGCGCGGCCGGGCGCUCGGCGCGGCGCGGCCCGAGGCGCAGGGGCGUGCGGGUGGCGGCGGCCAGCGCGCGGCAGGCACAAGCGAGCGGCCGGGAGCGGGCGGCCGGGAGCACGGUCCUCGCGCUGGUGGGGCCGGGCACGGCCGGCACGGCCUGAGGCGCACGGGCGGGUGCCGGAGCCAAGUGCUAGACGCCAAGAAAAAGGAGGGCGGCAGGAGAAAAGGAAGGAGAGAGAGAGAAAGGAGGAGGGAGGAAGGAGAAGGGGAGGGAGAAAAAGAAAAAGGGAAAAAGGAGAGGGGCAGCUCGGCGAAAGUUGCGGGGUUUAGACGGCUCGCGUGAUGGAUUGGAUGGGCAUGCGGCGAAAAUUACAGGGAGCGGAAAAAGAGGAUUGACGAGCCGGGGCUAGGACGGCGGGUCCAACGGAAGGGAAAGGAUUUGCCGGGGCUCAGCAGACGGAAAAAUUUUGGAAUGCAUUUUUAACGAGUGAUUUAAUUUGGUAGAUUUUUACGGGCAUGACAUGUUCGUACUCCUCGAAGGCUUGAUCUUCAAAUCCCUCGAACUGCUGAACGUCUACACACGUCACACGAGCACAUACAAGCAAACAUGAGCAAAAGUAAGAAAAAAGUACACCAAUCAUAAUUAAACAUAGAAAACAAUCUUGUAAAAUUGAUCUACGCUUUAAAACAAACACGUGGAUAUAAAGAACACGAAAAACGGAGUUAAGAUGCAAAAGAUAUGAUUAAAACAAGAUCCAGGGGUUUUUCUGCGAGAAAAACAAAACUUCUAGGGUCAAACUGCAAAAAACCGAGGGCUUAUACGUAAUUACAUAUACAAACUGAAGGUUUAACGUGUAAAAACUCCAAAACGGAUGGCGGGUUGAUUUUAGAGAAACUCAGGGUUUAAACCGAAAGAAAACAGGACCAAAACACAAAUACUUUUGAACUAGACUGGACCGCGGGUUGAUUUGUGGAAAAAGCGAGGGCUUAAGUGCAAAGGUGACGCGGCGCGGCACUGUUGACCGGUAUGCGAUCCGGUUGACUCGAUGCAACCCGUCAGAUCUGGAUCCGAUGGUCGUGGUCGCCGAUGAUAGCGCGGCGGCGGCGGAAAAAGCGGCGAGCGGUGGCGAGGUCGCUGGAGUUAGCCAAAACGGCGCUCCGGGGCUCGGUUUCGCAUGCGGAUCGCACGAGAAGAAAGCGUGGGACAUGGCGAACUCAUUUGAGCCCUCGGGGUGAACCAAAAGGCAGCGGGGAUCACCUCACGGCGGCGGCUUGCGGCGGCAACGCUGGAGCUCGGGAGGCUAAGGUUUCGGGGUGCUGGCGCGGGUGCUCGAGGCCGGGGGGUGCGGCGGCUUAAAUAGGGGCGGCUGGCGGCGGCUUGCGCGUCAAGGGAUAAGGGGCGGAUCCCGCGCGAAGAAAGCGCAUGGCGGUUGCGGGAGGCGGCGGAGUCCGGCGCGGUCGGGGGAGAAGUCCCAGCCGGAUACGGCCGGAGGAUAGGGAUGACGGGUGGGUCCCACCCAUCAGACCAGCGGAAGGGAGCGGGCCGCGCUGCUUCGCGGGCCGUGGAGGAAAGACGGAGUGGUGGGCCGAGCAGGGGAGGAAAGCUGGGCCGGUGGAGCUGAGGGGAGGCGGGCCGGAGGGAAAGGCGGAGCGGCCGAAGGAGCUGGUGGCGCUGGGCCGCGAGGAGAAAAGAAAGAAGGGGAAGGAGAAGAAUGCGGCCCAGGAGAAGAAGAAGGAAAAGAAAAAGAAAAAGGGAAAAGGAAAGAUUUUGAAAAUUGGAAAUUGAAUUUUAAAUUCAAAUUUGAUUCAAACACAAUCAACCAAAAAUUAUGCACCAGCAUGAAUGCACAAUAAACUCCUAUGGUGAAUUAAUUUAAUUUGAAGAAAAUGAAAAUUAAUAUGCCUAAGAAUUUAAAUGACAUCCUAAUUUGAGAAAAUUUUAAUGAAUUUGAAUUCCUUAAAAAUUUGGGUGUUACAGUCUUGGAUUGGGUAGAUUGGGAUAGUCUCUCUUCUUCAUCGGUGGUAGAAAGAGGAAGAAGAAAGACGUAAGAAGGAAGAAAAGGAUUUUGCUCGGUCCAGCCUACGGGUACGUUGGUCAUCGUUCUUUGGGCGGGCGCUUGUUUCUACAGGAAUACUUGCUUGUCCACAGGAAUACUCGAAUCAGCUCAUAAAUACUUCAAUCAGGUUACACACUUCUUGCGUCUUUAUUAUCAGCUUCUUCUUCUAUCGACAGCCACAUACCAGCUUGCUUCUAUUUAUUAUCAGUAUGAUUAGAGUGCACUAGAUUGAUGAUUAGAGUGCACUGCACCAGGAAAUAAUUAGAUUAUUAUAAUAACUAGAUAAUUAUCAGUAUGAUUAGAGUGCACUGCACAAGGCAAUAAUGGAGGACGACAGGGUGCGGGUGGUUGAUAGUGACCGCACGCCACCGAGGCUUUGUUUAGUUGCUAAAGUUUGGAGAUGCCAAAUUACUGUUACAGCACUGUAGCACACUGUAGUGUUUCGUUUGUAUUUGUGAAUUAUUAUCCAAACAUUGACUAAUUAGGUUUAAAAGAUUCGUCUCGCAAAGUACAACAAUGUGCAAUUAGUUUUUAAUUUCGUCUACAUUUAGUACUCCAUGCAUGUACCGCAAGUUUGAUGUGAUCGAUGGGGAAUCUUCUUUUUGCAUAGUGUCAAAGUUGGGGGUAGGGGUGAAGGCCGAAGAGUCAAGUCGCCGGCACCCACCCACUUAAGAGCACUGUGCUGCGAUAUGCACUCGCUGCGAGAUGGCAUAGCAUGUGCUGCAUCAUUUACAAGGAAAUAAAAUCGCGUAUACCGAGUCGCACCUCCCGGAAAAACAGAUCGCCCCCGCGUCGUCGCGAAGGUGGCACAUGUGCUGCAUCAAUGCUAUGUAAUUGAAGGCGGUUGUUAAUUAAGGCACUCCGUCCACGGUUACCGGUGUUUUUUAAGAAUUUUUUACGUGUCAGAUGGGAAUUAAUAUUGGCUCUAAUAAGAAAAGCUAACCGGCCGUUCCCCCCUAGACUCUUUGCACCCCUAGACUCUUUGCAGGUCCGCCCUCCGCUGCCCAAUUCGAUUUCCAGCUAUGGGGCUUUCGUUGCGCAGGUGCCUCUUUCUCCUUCACUUGUUUGAUUCUUUUGCCCGAUAGGUUCUUACAUGGUUUUCUUUCCCGCACAGAUUUACCCCUGCUGGGUAGCAGUGGAUGUGAACAGAUCUGCAACCUAGGGAAAUCUUUGCUUCGGAGCUUGUUGCCAAGACCGCACAGAACAAGAUGGAGUUGGUUGUGGGUGCUUCAGAAGCCACCAUGAAGUCUCUGCUUGGCAAGCUGGGUGGCCUUCUCGCCCAGGAGUAUGCUCUGGUCAGGGGCGUCCGUGGUGACGUCCAGUACAUUUACAACGAGCUGGCCACCAUGCAGGCCUUCCUCCGCGACCUCAGCUCUGCCCCGGAGGAGCAGGGCCAUCGGAUGAAGGACUGGAUGAAGCAGAUCCGUGACAUGGCCUACGACUGCGAGGACUGCAUAGAUGACUAUGCCCACCGCCUCCCCAAUGACUCCAUCACUGAUGUCAAAUGUGCCUUCAUGGUCAGAACCAUAUAUCAAGUCUGGACAUGGUGGCCUCGCCAUGAAAUUGCUUCCAACAUUGCUGAACUCAAGAUCCGGGCACAACAGAUUGCCGAACGACGCGGCAGAUAUGGAGUUGACAACCCAAGCAACUGCAAUGGCAACAGUUCCGGAGCCCGUGCCGCUACGUAUGACAUUGCGGAGCAUCAGGUCGCCAGCCGUCAGCUCAUCGGUAUGAAGGAGCCUGUGGGUGUGACGGCUGACAUGAACAAGCUUGAGGAGUGGGUAGACAGACCUGAUAAGGACAUUGGUGUUCUGUCCAUAAUCGGAUUCGGCGGUGUGGGGAAGACCACCAUUGCCAUAGCAUUGUACCGGAAAGUCAGUAAUAAAUUUGACUGCCGUGCUUGGGUUAAUGUGUCCCAGAACUACGACAAAGAGGCAGUCCUAAGGAGUAUUCUGAAACAAGUCAUGCUACAAGACAAAGAUCAGAUUUCUCGGGAAAAAAAUUUCCAAGACGGAGAUCAGGAGGCAGUCCAAAGCACAGGGGAGGGAAGCUCGGAGAAGAAGCACCUAGCAGCACACGUUAUGAACACAUUAAAGCUGCCAUUCGUCAGAGGGCACAAGCAGCAAGGCAAUGAUGGGAGCUCUGAUGAAAAGCAGAUGAAGAUUGAAACAAUGUACGGUGAUG
rnacentral:lncRNA from 1 species